rnacentral:lncRNA from 1 species
UGUGAAGUAACAUCAUUUAAGAGACGAGCAAUAAUGGAAGAAGCAUCAAUGAUUUUAGGGUUGUUAGAUGCCCAAUUAAAAAUCUCAGGUGUCACAAAAUCUCCCAUUCCAACAAAAGAUGUGACGAUUAACAUGAUAUAACCAACAGAUACAACUGCGUUUCUCAUAUACUCCUUCAUUGUUGGAACAUAGUUUUCAUUACACCAUUUCGCCUCCACAAAAUAAGAUUCGGACAGUUGUUUAAAGUAUGAAAAGGGAAAAAUAAAAUAAAAUAAAAGGAAGUCAUUACCUUUAGGUCAUAAUAACACUUCAAAUUUAGAGUACAUAUGUAUCAGCUUUUGACAUCUAUUUUGUUUUACUUACUCAAUCCUACUGAUGGAAAAUACCAACCUCCAAAUUCCUUUCUUCUUGAGCAAGCACCAAAAACAACAAAGCCCCCCACCCCCCCUAAGAAAAGCCUUCCAUUACCUGAUUAAUAUAUCUAUAUAUCUUUGCUAAUUUUUCCAAUAAUAUAUAUGAACUGAAGUCAUAGAUAUGCUGAUCAUAUGUAUAUUUAUAUCAUACCUAUACUAAUAAUAAAAAAGUAAUAUAUAUCGAAAUUAUGUUUAAGCAAUCCUCCCCACUCUAUUACCAACCCCCAACUUUCUCCUACAUUUUGCUGUUAUUUCCUAUUAGAUAUUAAUGAUUUGACAUGAGUACUAGUUUUAGUUAUAGCCCCCUCGUGUGUGCACAAGAAUUUCAGGUCACUUCCACCAUAUAUUUCACACAAUUAUAACAUUUCCUCUUCCAUUUGUAGCUUUGUUGAGUGGGGCAUCCUACUUACUUCUCUUAUCACCACAACUCUUUCAUGUAUUUAAAUAAGUCGCAAACAUCACAUAAAUCAAUUAAAUUAAGUUGGAAUAUUAUAAAUAAAGAAAAAAAUGUUAGAAAAAAUUUGAGUCUUAUUUAAGGAUUCAAUUUAACUUAAUUUUGAAUUUAAUUAAAAUUUAAUGUGACUAUUAAACAAGAAAGAAUAUCAUAUCAAAAUAUAUUCAUGUAUGCACAUGCAGCUACAUAUAUUUAUGAUGGGAAAUGAUGUGGAUUUUCAAGCAGUUGGAUAGAAAUGGACGUGAGAGUAGAUUCAUGUGCAAAUGUUUGGGAGGUACUUGACAGACAUUUACAACCAGCUGCUAAUGUUGACAUUUCUCUUCCAUGUAUAAAGUUUUUGCCUGCCAUUUUAAUUAAAAGAAAAUACAGCUCCACUUAGUGCAAAACUGAAUCAAGCAACACAAACCCAGAUAAGAAACUUGAAUGAACUUAGAAUAUAACAUAGCAAAUAACAAAAAUAACCAGUCAAAUUGAAAUCUGAAGCAGAAAAGAAAUAUGCUUUUCCUUUGAACCCAAAAAUUAUCGAGGAGAUGAGCAGAGAAGAACUUACAGGUGUAAACGAAAAAGGCAAAAGGGGUUUUUUUUGGAUGUCGAAUUGGGGAAUUUUAGAGAUGAGCAGAUGAGCAGAGAUGAGCAGAGAAGAACUUACAGGUGAAUUUUAGAGAUUUCAAACUGGGGAAGAAGGGGUUUUUUUCGGAUGUCGAAUUGGGGAAAAACAAGUGAUAAUUCUUUAGGGAUUUGGGACUAAGGAAAAGAGGGGAAAUGAACUGGGGAGACUUUGACAAAAUUUCUAAGUGUUAUCGUGUGUAAAAAUGAAGACAACAAAACGACGAUGUUUUGACAAACAUAAUUUAACGUUUGCGGUGUUUUUGCAAUAGCGCCGCUAAAAGGGUAAGCUAUUGCGGCGUUUCAAAUAAACGCCACUAAUAAACUAACAAAACGACGACGAUUUGAUCUAAACAAAAUAAUAGUAGCGGCGUUUAUACACAAGCGCCGCUAAAUCCAAACCUAUUGCGGUGCUUCACAAAAAACGCCACUAAUAAAUCCUACAAAACAGCGCCAUUUUGUUUAAAACAUGAUGCUUUUUUGCGGCUUUUUUAUAAAAAACGCCGCUAUUGUAUACCUUUUGCAGCAUUUUUUAUAAACGCCACUAAUUCCUUUAAAAUUUAAAACUAUUUAAUAUAUAAUUUAAAAAUAAUAUAAAUUAAAAAAAAUCACUUAUAUACCAAAUAAACUUUAAAAUUAUUUUAAAUAAUAGUAUUUCAAAUUUUAAUUAAUUUUUUAACAUUAAUUAUCCUAAACCCUAAACCCAUAACCCAUGUCCCCUUAAUGCCUUAACCCUUAAAUCCCUAAAUCCAUAACCCCCAACUCAUAGCCCUUAGACUCUUAACCCCUAAACUUUAAACCCUAAACCAUGUACCCUUAACCCUUAACCCUUGGACCCUUAACUCCUAGACCCUUAACCUUUAACCCCUAAAUCAUAAACCCUAAAUCUCUAAACCUCAACCCUUGAACCAUAAAUCAUGAUCCCUAAGUCCAUAAUCCAUAAUCCAUAAACCUUGAGAUAUUAACUCAUAAACCAUAAACCCUUAAACUUUAAACCCUAAACCCAUAAUUCAUAAACCUUAAAAUAUUAACUCAUCAUAAACCCUAAACCCUAAACUAUAUACCCUAAACCAUAAACCUUAAACUAUAAUGAUAAGUAAUUCAAUAUUUUCAAAUUAAUAUUAUCCAUUUUAUGAUUAUAGAAUAAUUUAUUUAAUAUAUAAAUUGACAAACAAUCAGUCAUAUAACAAAAAAGCUUUAAAAUUAUUUUAAAUGAUAGUAUUUUAAUUUUUCAUUUUUAACAUAUAUUUUUAUAUGUUUUUAUUUUCAAAUUUUUUCUACGUGUCAUUAUUUUUUCCCGAAGAAGUUAAAUAUUCAAUUAAAAAUAAUUUAAUUAAUAUAAAAAACCAAUAAAAUAUUUUUGUGGCGCUUUUUGAAAAAACGCCGCUAUAAAUAGAGCAAUAGCGGUGUUUUUCAAAAAGCUCCGCUAUAGAUCUGAGCAUUAGCGACGUUUUUCUUAAAGCGCCGCUAUAGAUCUGAGCAUUAGCGGCGCUUUUGGCAAAACGCCGCUAAUAACACUAAAGGUCAACGUUAAACGAUGACGUCCUGCUUUACUUUUUGCGGCGUUUUUUUGCAAACGCCGCUAAUGCUCGAUUUGUAGCGGCGUUUUUUUAAAGCGCCGCUAAUGCUCGAUCUUUAGCGGCCUUUUUACUUCAAACACAGCUAAAAACACUGCGAAAAACCUGUUUUGCUGUAGUGUGGGUAUAAUAAAUAUGACAUUUCAACAGUAUAGAUGGAAUAAUACCUCAACUUUAAUAAUAUUUCCCAAAUAGGAAAGGAAAAAUCGAGUAUUCCCAAUAACCAGUGUCGUGAUACAUUUUCUAUAAUCUCUGAUCCAUAUUACCAAAUUCCCAUGUUCAAGUCAGGAUUUACAACAGUAGUAAGUAUAAUUACCAUUAAUCAAUGAAUAUCUUUUUUAGUCAAACCAUAAAAUGACAAGAAAACUGAGAUAACAAAAUCCAAGUUGCAAAACUAUACCAAAUUUUCGAGAAGAUAAUCCAUAUUGAAUAAUAUAAAGAUUGAUAACUUCUCAAAGAAAGUCCAGAAGAAUAACAUUGCACAUUCGCCUUUCAGAGUUUUCACCAACAGAAAUAGAAGAUAAUAUCAUAUGAAUCUUAGUAUAAAAUGUUCUAUCACAUAUAUUGACUUGGAAAACCAAAGAAAGAUAAAGUAAUGCCAUUUGUGAAUUAAUCAGACUUGCGACAAUUUCUGUCUGUUAGCAUAUUUAUCUAACCUUUUCCAUAUAAUGAUUUUAGCAUCCAAUCAUGAACAGUUGCAUAUACUUCUGAAAAUAUCAAUACAUAUAAGACACCCAUAUAAAAUCCCAAAAAUUUACUAUAAUGUACUCAAUUAUAACAGCUAUAUUCAAAUAUUUUUGCAAUUUAUUCACCAAUCCAUUGACUAGUAUAGUCAUCAAUAAUUUUCACAUCAUUUAGUUCACUCAGAAGAAAUUUUUAGUUAACCAUUGUGUAAAUACCAUAUCUGAAUAAAUCAAUUUUCCUAUAGAUAAGUUCUUUCUUUAGCAGUGGUACUGUAUAUUCCAAGUAGUUUUCAGAACAAUCUAAUGUCUCUAUUCAGAACCCAUCUUUACUUAUUAACUCAUUCUCAGUUCUAACUGCAUUAUUAGUUGCUCAUUUAUUGAACUUUUUCACUUUCACACUUCUGAACUUAAUCAAUAUAAAUCUCAUGAAUUUCAUUGCAUAUAACCGUACUGGUAAGGGGGUAGAUAUCGUAAAGUCUCAUAAUUUAAUUUUUCAUGUAUUUACUAAUAUAACAUAAUAUUUACCAUUUUCAAGUACUAAUAAACAUUUAUCUGUAUCUUUACAAGUUCUGUUUCAUUGUAAUCAACAUUUUUACUCAGAGACAAUCCUUUACCUUGUAACAAAAAUUAUUAUUAUUUAUUUAGCAGAGGCCCAGUAGACUAGAUAAUGCUUUUACAUGCUUUACAAUUUAAUAUUUGUACCAAUAAUUCGUACAUUUAUAUCUUCUGUAUCUUUAAUACGUGUAAUAUAUUUUAAAAUUCACUAUUCAUCCAUAAUUAACAAAUAAUCCUUAUCAUGUACUUCAUAUAUAUAUUUAUAUAUAGAUAAAUCACAGGAAAAGAAUUUCUCGAUAUAUGAUUUUGAAUUGGCAAUUAUUAUAGUUGCAUCAGGAAUUUGGCAACAUUAUCUAUUUAGUGAAAGACGCUAUAUAAGUACUGAUUACAAAAGUUUAAUACAAAAGUUUAAAGUAUCUGAUGUUACAGAAAGAUUUGAGUUUGAGACAGUGUGGGUUGUGAGCUGCUGAAAGAAUAUGAUGUGGUAAUUGAUCAUUAUUUGGGAAAAACAAUUGUAAUUGCUGAUACUCUGAGUAUAAGAUUUCUGUUUGUCUUAUAAGCAAAGGACACCCGAUUGCAAUUGUCUAAUAAUAGUACAAUCUUAAUAGAACUUAAAGCUAAACCAAUGUUUAUACAACAGAUCUGUGAAACUCAGAGAUGUAAUAAUGAGUUGCAAGUUAAAUGAGUACAAAGUGGGUCAACUUCUAAUUCAGGAUUUCAGAUUAGAUCUGAUGAUUGUCUAUUAUUCUAAGACAAAACUUGUAUACUGAAAAAUAAAGGUAGCUUUAGUAAAAAAAUUUCUGAUAAUGACAUGAUACAAAAGAAGCUACCUAAGAAUAAAAGAAAACUACAGAAAGUAAUAUCUUAAAUUUUUUUUAUUGCUAAGAUUUUCAAGGACAAAAAUUCUUUAAUGGGGAGAGAAAUGUAAUACCCAAAAAAUUUCUAUAGUAAGAUAUUGUCCUUGCUAUAGAAAAAUAAGGAAAUAAGUGACAAAAAAGGGAAGUUUUGAGUUAUGACAACAUUGGGAAAUAAAUUAUGAUAUCUUGAUUUAGGAAAGGACUAAAUUGCAAAAGUGUGAAAAAUUUUGUUGUAUAAGAGUAAAUACUUAAAAAUUGAGGGGUUAAAGUGUAAAUAUGAAAAAAGUUGAAUGGUCAAUAGUGUAAAUAUUUUAAGGGUGGAAUGAUCUAGAAAUUAAGGAAAAUGGAUGAAUUAGGACCAAAUUGAAUAAGUGAAGAAUUAUGAGGGACUAAAUUGCAAUUUUACCAAAUUAAAUGAUGACUCAAGGAUGGAAUUUUAAAAGAUAAUAAAGGGAAAAAUGGUCAAUUGGAAGAGAGAGAAAUCUAGAAAGUAAUGAUGAUGUUGAUGAUAUUUUAUAAUUAUUUAAUUAAGAUAAACAUUAUUUUAAUAUUUUAAUAAGAUGUUUUAUUAUUUAUUAUUAUUUUAUUAUUAAAUUAUUUAAUAUAUAUGGAAGGAAAUAUGAAGAAUUUCUAUCAUCUUUCCAUCCAUGCAUUCAUGUUAGAAGAAAAGAGAAGAAAGAAAGUUUUCUUUUCUUUACAAUUUGGUCCUUCCACAAAAAAUCCACCAUUUUCACUUAGAAAUCAAAAGAAUUUUCUUAGCUAUCAAGAGAGAAAGAUGACAAGGAGACAAUGAGGAGCUAGAAUAUCAAGUUAGAUUCAAGAAAUAGAAGCUGGAGGAGAGUGAAAAUCAAGUUAAAGAUUGAAAUCAAUGAGACAAGGUAAGAACAUCAAGAUUUCAAUAUAUUUUUAAAUUUGACACUAUUGAAAAAGCAUGGAAAUGAUGUUAAUGUAGAGUUUUCUUAUAUAAGGUUUUAUGUUCUUAAUAUGUUAGUGAAUAGAAAGUAAUGAGAAAUAGUGUAGAGAAAGAAAAUAAGGGUGUUAUAAACAUGGUAAAUAAACAUCUUGCACUAAAACAGUUUUGGACAUCGCAGUAGGCUAACUUUGAAAAAUCACCAUAAAUUGUGGAAAUCGAAUUAGAGGAUGAAUAAAUUAUGGAAUUAAAUAUUAUUGAGUCUAGUUUCUUAUAGAACAAAUGUUAUAAGAAAUGGAAUUGUGGAUUAUGAGAUAUAAUAAAUUUUGUUACACAAGGUCAGAAUGAUUUUUGGUUCAUGGUAUUUCUACAAUUUAGUCAGGUAGGUUCGUAUAACUUGAAUGGGCAUGUAAAUAUGUCAAUUUAAAUAUUGUAUUGUAUUUUAUAUGAUGUUUGAAUUGAAUAUAUGAAAUGUAUGAAUGUUGAAACGAAAGAAAUAAUACAUGUUCUGAAACUACUUGAAAGGGAUAAAAUCUAUUUGAACAUUGGGUUCCGGGCGGAUAUAGGUGAUUUCCCAAAUGAAAGAGUUCUUGCAUGUGUUGCAGAAAUAGAUAAUCCUGACGGUUAAUCUGACAAAAGCCUUCUUGAGAAUAUAAAGUGAAUAGGAUUUGUUCCUGAUUCACUAUAAUACCUCAAAGUGGAUAGGAUUUGUUCCUGAUUCACUAUGGUAAUUUAAAGUGAAUAGGAUUUAUUCCUGAUUCACUACGGUAACUUAAGGCGGAUAAGAUUUGACCUGAAAAGGUAAUCCUAAUUCGCUACGGUUACAUGAUAUAUGAUUCAUUAUGGUAACCUAAGGUUGGUAGGAUUUGACCUGAAAAGGUAAUCUUGAUUUGCUACGGUUACACGAUAUAUGAUUCCUUAUGAUAACUUAAGGUGGGUAGGAUUUGACCUGAAAAGGUAAUCCUGAUUCACUACUGUUACAUGAGAUGUAACUUGAGAGAGUGCUUGAUAAUUAAACUGUUGAAACCAUUUUUAAAUCGGGUUUUGAAAAAUGGAAAUCGACUUUAAGAAAACUGAAAACGGGAGUCGCCACCAACCUUUUUAAGUGUGAUUGGAUCACCAAUAAAUCAUUUUGUUUAAAAUCAUUAGUUUUGGUCUACGAAAUCAAGAAAAUGGGUUUGGGAGUCGGUUACGAACGAGGAAGGAUUAGCACCCUCGUAACGCCCAAAAAUUGGUACCUAAUUGAUUAUCAAGUGUCUUUAAGGUCGGAAAUUUGAAAGUUUUAAGAUACAAUCCUUUUUUUAUUUAGAAUGUUUUGAUUGAAAAAUUUAGGCUCGCUUAUUUCAAACGAGUCAAAAUAUCACAUCCAGUAAGUUAAGAAGCAAUAUUUUAAAACUUUUGAAGCUAAGCUUGUCUUUUGGAAAUUUCUAUUUCGAAACAACAAAACGCCAUAUCCAGUGAAUUAAGACACAAUGCUUUGAAAUCUCGAAAAUAGUUGUUUAUAUUUUAAAAACUCAAAACGUUUAGAAGGGUACUUGAAUGUUCGAAUUCGAUGAGAAAAAUCGCAACCCAGUAAGUUAGGGCACUAUUUUCCCGAAGCUUCCAAACAUUAAGUAUUGCCUUUAUAUUUUGGAAAACUUUUUAGUAAUUUGGUAAAAAUGAAUUUCUUUAUUUAAAACGUUGACUCAUGCAAAAGAAUGGCGUUAAUACAUAUCACAAGACAAAUAUACCAAAGGUAAUAAAUUACAACAUAUUACAAUUCAUAAUAAUAUAGGCAAAUAAGAAAUAACCUAAAAUAAUGAAAUAUACACAUCAUAAGAUGAUUAUGCUAAAAGAUAAACCUAUAUACAAUGUUAGUAAAUAAAAAUACAAAACAAUUCAUAAUAAAUUAAAGAAUAUAAAAAUAGAAGUGGAAAUCAAAAUUUAUAAUGUAAAAAGUGACAAAAUAACACUUAAAAAAACAAAUACGAAUUAAAACACCAAAUCAAUAUUGAUAAAAAGGUAAAAAUAAUAAUAAUAUUUAAAAAAUAUAUAUGUAUAUAAUAAUUAACAUAUUUAAAUGAGUAAUAUAUGUAAAAAAAAUUUAAAAGAAAAGAAUAUAAUAAUAUAUAACAAUUUAAUAUACAUAGGAAAAUAUUUUAAAAAAAUAUAUAAAAAACUUUUAUUAUUAAAACAAUUAAAAAUAUUAUACGUGUUAAAUAUUUUAAAUAAAUAAUAUAAAACAUUAAAAUUUUUUAAGAGAAUAAAAAUAUAUAAUAGAUAAUAUUUAAAAAAAAAGGAUUAUAUGCACAAAAAAAAUAUAUAAAAUCUUUAAAUCCAUUUAACAUAUGAUAUAAUAUACAUAAUUUUAAAACAAUUUAUAAUAGAUACAAAAUAUAUAAAAAUAUGUAAUAAAUAAUUUUUAAUAAAAAAAGAAGAUGAAAUAUAUACACAAUAUAAUAAUAUAAUAAAUAAUACAAAUUUAAAAUAUAAUACUUAAUAAUAAUUUCAAAAUAGCAUUUACUAAAUAAUAUAAUAAUAAAACUAAUAUAUAUAAGGAUUAAUAUAUAAUAAAUAACAGGUGAAAAUAAUUGUAUAAUUAUAUAAUAAAAUAUAUAGGUUUAGAAUAAAACAAAUAAUAUAUAAUAUAAAAUUAAUAAAAAAAACACAUAGGAUUAAAUUUAAAAUUUUAUAAAAUUACAAGGGCGAAAUUUAAAAAAAAUUAGGGACCCCAAAGAAACGCACGCAAAAUGUGAGGGACUCAUAGGGUAAUUAAACCAUCCUCUUUAAAACGACGUCGUUCCUGGGAUAAACCUUAAAGAAGCUGUUAGGACUAAAUUGAAACAAGCAUAAAAUAUUAGGACCAAAUUAUAAAUACGAAGGGAUCAAUUGCACAAAUAACCCUUUUGUCAGAAACACGCGGAUCCUUCCCGGGUCACUGGUCAACGCGCGGAUCUUAGGCCUUGAAACGACACCGUUUUGGUCACUAAACGGUCACCCCAAAACGACGUCGCACCCUUCUCCUAUAUAAUUUGAACUUCAGCUUCAAAAAAACAUUUUAACCCCCUAAAAAAAAACCUUCUGAAAUUUCCCUAGUCCUCUGAGCUCCAACCCUGGGCCGGUCUGCUCUGUUCAUCGGACCUCCGUGUUCAGCCCCAUGCGCAUCACCAACUCCGUCACACAAGGCGGUCGGGAUCCGAAAAGCUUCGCUUUUCGCUACGAAUCUAAAGGCACUUCUUUCUCCUCUAUUUUUCAAUGUAUUAUAUGCAUGAACUUGUGAUAAAGAGAAUGAAACAGAAAUAAAAAAAAUAUAUCACCUUCGUUUCCUGUAAAAAUCUCUGGUGUAUUAUUGCAAAAAUAUUCUGUGUACAGUAUUUUGGUAUAUCUCUCUAGUGUUUUUUUUUCUCUAUGCGUGUGUAAGUUUUUUUCUCGUCUCCUUUCUACAGAUUGAAAAGAAGGCUUUAUAGCCUCGAUAAACCACUACAAGUUUUGGAAAGAAAUCUUUGAUUUCUUUUCGUAUUCGCUUCGCAUGUUUGCUGUGAUUUUCUUUCCUUUUCUUGCAGGUGAAUCGUAAGGAUUUCGUUCGAACACCAAUGACUGCACGCUGAUGGGGCCAGUGCUGGAUUGUAGCGUAUGACAAUUCUGGAAUGAUUCGCACGUCAAUGGUGGCGCGAUGCAUGGUGGCGAAGUCAAGGAGUCACGGCGCAUUGAUGAAGGCGACGAUUAGGCCAUUGGACCUGAAAAGUCGUGACAUUUGGAACCUCGAAGCAUCUAGAAUCCCCCCUUUGCGGCGCCUAACUUCUCAGGAAACCCUAGGGUUUCCUGAUCCGUUUACUACUUUGGGCCUUUUGGGCCCCGUGUAUCCUUGGGUCAAGGAUAUUGGAUCAUCCGGUGUAGAUGGGUCUGAGUGUUUAAAUCUGGGCUUGGGUGUAAUGGGUUGCCGGGUCUGAAGCUUAAAUGUUUGGGCCGUAACUGUUUGGGCUCUAUAAUGGGUUAUGGGGUUAAGUGUUUUUUUGGCUUUGUACACGGACUUUUAAAAUAAAUAUUUAUUUAUUCAUUUAUUAUUUUUGGUUUUAAGGCCCGAGUAGAUUUGGGCUAUUACAUAAACGUCCUAAGGGUUAUUUCUGAAUAUGAAUUGAUGGAAUAUGGAAAUGUACGCUUUGAGUGUAUUGUUGAAAAAUCCAUCGAAACUCCAAUGAUUCAACAGAUAGAAUAUUUGAUAUGAUACAAGAAUUAUAAUAUGAAAAGGAUGUUACAUGAAACAUGAAAAUGAAUACUAAAUGAUAUAAAUUAAUUGAAAUUAUUCUAAAAAUUUUGGUAAUGCCUUGUAUCCUAUCUCGGUCUCGGGUACAGGUAUGGGGUGUUAAAUGAUAGUAAUUCUGUAUGUUGGAAACACUACGAAAUGAGAUGAAUUGGUGUGAGGCAAAGAGCUCCUAUGUUGAAGUAUUUAUAGAACUUUCUCAGUAUGUGAAAAUCUUAUAUUUACAUAUACAUCUAUAAAUUGAACAGCAGGGUUCCGUAAAAAUAAAAAUAAAAAUUAUUAAAUUAUUAAAAAUAAAGAUAUUAAAAAUGAAUUAUUUGUUGACUUGACAUCCAAGUGUAUAUCCACGUCAGCAAAGUUAAUAUUUGUUAACUUUUCUAUCUAUUUUGGGGUGAUUUGAUAGAAAAAAUGUAAAUUUGAGGGUUAAAAAGAGGCAAAAAAUUAAAUGGAGGACUAAAAAGACUUUUUUUAAUGUUGGAGGGGUAAAUAAAUCAUUAUACCAAAUUAAUUCAAUCAAUCAAAAAUAUAACUAAACUAUAAACAAAACAAAUUUGAUAUGAAAUUGAAUCAAGUGAAGUGAUAAUAUUUUGUAUUCAAGUUUUAAGUUGACAUUAACAUUGUUUUUAGUAUAUGAGGAUGUGGGGUCGAGUGAGUUGAAACGUGUUAUCAUCCUUUUCAAGGGUUGGGAAGAGAUUAUGGGUAGUUCUAGGCAUUGUGUCAAAAAUGAAAUUAAAUUAUAAAUAAACAAUGCUAAAAUAUUAAAUAUCUAUAUAAUCAUCAUUUAAAUUUCAUUAUUAAGAAACGUUGUAAAACUAUGUAAAAAUUAGGCAUAAUGAUUUUUUUGCCCUCCAACUUUAUAAAAAAAUCAUUUUGGCCCUUUUAUUUAAUUUUUCGUCUAUUUUAACCAUUGAGCAUGAUUUUUUGUCAAAUUAACCUAAAAUGAAUGGACAAGUUAACAUUUGUUAACUUUGCUGAUAUGACAUAUACGUGGAUGACAUGUCAACACUUAAUUAAUUUUUUAAAAUUUAAAAAUUGUCGAGACCAUUUUUAAAUCGAGUUUUGGAAAAUAGGAAUCACUUUAAGAAAAACGAAAACGGGAGUCGCCACCAAUCUUUUGUAGGUGUGAUUGGGUCACCUUAUAAAAUGUUUUGUUUUAAAACAUUAAUUUUGGUCUACGUAAGUUGAGAAAACGGAUUCGGGAGUCGGUUACGUACGAGGAAGGGUUAGCAACAUCGUAACGCCUAAAAAAAAUUGGUACCUAGUUGAUUAUCAAGCGUCUUUAAUGUCGGAAAUUUUGAAAGUUGUAAGAUAAAAUCCUCUUUUGAAUAUUUUAAUUUUGAAAAUUACAGUUCACUUGUAUCAAAUGAAUCAAAAUAUUACAUCCAAUAAGUUAGGAAGUAAUAUUUUUAAGUCAUUCGAAACUAAGCUAGCCCUCCUUAAAAAUCCCUAUCUCGAAACGACAAAACGCCAUAUCCUGUAAGUUAGGAUACAAUGCUUUGAAAUUCCAAGGCAGUUGCUCAUAUUUUAAAAAAUCGAAAACUUAGAAGGGUGCUUGAUUAUUCUUACACAGCGAGAAAAGUUGCAACCCAGUAAGUUAGGGCACUACUUUUCAUGAAGCUUCCAAACACCAAACGUUGCCUUUUUGUUUUUGAAAACUUUAGAAUCUUGUUUUUGAUUAAUGCAUGAGGGAUCAUAUUAACAUUAUGGAAUAACAUACAAGAUUGCAUAUUAUCAUAAUAGGUUUGUAAAAGUAUGAAUUUAAACAUAUCUUAAACAACAAACAUGGCACAUUUAAAACAUGUAAAACAUACACACAAAAGACAUUUGACAUACAUUAAAAAUGAAUAAGUGAGCAUAUAUAUAUAAGGUAUAACUCUAUAUACAUUUUAAUAAAUUAACAGACAAAAGAUGAUACAUGGCAUACAAUUUAACAUAAACAUAUCAACAUACAUAUCAAUUCUAAAAUACAACCUUUAAUAAUCAUAAAACAGUAUUUAAUAUAUAUGUGUGAAAGAAUUAAUGUAUAUUAAAAUGUAAUAUAAGGUAAGUAAUUAUUGAUAAAAUAUACCUAAAAUAUAAAUUAAAAAAAUGCUUAAAAUAAGUUAUGUAUAAUAAUAUAAUAUGAAUAAAAUAAGGAAAUAUAAAAUAAUAAUAAUAAUAUAAUAAGUAUUUUGCAUAUAAAAGUAUGGUAGCAUAAUUAGAAAAAAAAAGGAUAUAUACAUAAUAAAAUAUAUGUAAAAGAAUAUAUAAGAAAAAUAAAUAUUAUAAGGAAUAUUAUAUAAUAAAAUAUAGUAUGUAAUAAAAUAUAAAUAAUUAUAAUGAAAUAUAAUAUGGUAUACAUAUAAUAAUAGUAAUAAUGUAACAAAUAAAUAAUAAAAUAAAAAAUACAACAUAUAAUGAAAUUUAUGAAUGUAUAUAUAAUGCUAAAAAUAAUAAAAAUAAAACAAUAUAUUAUUAAAUAUAACUAACAUUUUAAAUAUAUAUAUAUAAAAAUAUAAAAUAAAAAGGACUAAAAUUGGAUUCAAUUAAGAAAUUUGGGGGUUAAUUCGCAAAAAAAUAAAAAAUUUUGGGCCUGAUUGAAAUACGCAUUAAAAUAGAGGGACUCACUGGGCUAUUUGCCCUAAUCCCAAAACGACACCAUUUCCCCUAAUACGGUUUUAAAUCACUGUGAGGGCCAAAUUGAAGCAGAAUUAAAACAUUAAAGUUAAAUUAGAAAAUAAAUAAAAUGAAAUUAAAAAUAUAAAAAAUACGAGAGGACCAAUUGGGCAAUUAACCCAUUUUAUAAAAAACACGCGGAUCCUCCCCGGGUAAUCGGGUCAACAUGCGGAUCCUCAGGUCUUAAAACGAAGUCGUUUUUUAAGCUUAUUGACUUAAGCCAAAACGGCACCGUUUCUUUUAGGCUAUAUAAACCAAAUUUUAAGCUUAAAAAUUAUUUUUACACCGGUAAAAAAAAAACUUAAAGAAAUCCUCUGCAGGAGGAUUCGGGGUUGUCCUCAGAACCUCGUUGGGCCCCCGUUCUCAGGCGCCUAUGCCCACACGCCACCGCGAGGACCACCACGCACGAUGAUCGAAGGGUUAAAAACCCUCGUCCUUUCUUGCGAAUUACAGGUGACUCUCUUCCUCUUAAUAUUUUCGUAGUUUUUUUUUAAAUGCUUCGUAUACCAAUCAGAAAAUAAUUAACAAAAUAUGAAAUAUAAAUCACCUUAAGAAACUAUUUGCAAUCUAAAUGUAUUCGUAUGUCUACUGCUUUUAUUUUCUAAAAAAAAAAUCUGAUCCUUUACAUCGUAUUUGAUUCAGGAUUUUAUAGCCACUAUUUACAAUAUACUUUGGGAAGAAAUCUUUUAUUUCUUCCCAUUUUUGUUUGUUUGCUGCUGUUUCUUUCUCUUUUGCAGAUAUUCGCGAGAAAAAUCCGGAAAUGAUUGUGCUGGACGCAGAUCUGCCGGUGGCGUUGAUCACGGCGUGACCUGGAGCCUAGAAUUGUGGCUUUGAUGGAGGGUAGCUGGAACGACAGAAACCGAAGGAGAUUGACGUUUUGUUUGGCUUCUGGAAUUUUCUAUUUACGGCGCCUAGGGUUCCAAAAAAACCUAGGUCUCCCCUCAUCUGUUAACACAUUUGGGCCUCAUGGGCCCCGAGUGUAAUGGGUCUACUGGGCUUAAGCUAAAACCGGGUGUAAGCAGUUAGGUAAAAUGUAAACGGGUAGUGGGUUUAGGUAUUUGGGCUGCUGGGUUAUGUAUUAUUUUUUUGUUUUGGGCUCUGUAUAUAGACUGUUUAAAUAAAUAAACAUUUAUUUAUUUAUUUUUUAAGGCCUGGGCAGAUUUGGGCUAUUACAGCUGCCCCUCUUUGCUCAUUGCUAUAUAUAAUAGAAAUCGAGCAAAAACUAUAAAAGGACCAAAUUUGCCCGGCCUUAUCGAAUCAUGGUCUUCAAGAUGCUCAUUGCAAACUCAAAACUGUCAUGCUGAUAUCUUCGAUCUGUUCUCCGUCGAACACAGAGAUGCCAAAUAUGCUUCUUCAAUUUGUUCUCUGACAACACAGAGAUGCCAAACCAUCUUAGAUUUGCUUCAGCAUAAACAUGUGAAAACCAAAUCUGCUGUGUUUUCGAUUUGCUCCUUGUGAACACAAGGAUGCCAAAUCAUCUUGUAUCUGCUUCAGUAAAAUCAUCUGAAGGUUAGAUCUGCUAUGUAUCAGCUCUCGUCGAAAUGGAGAUGCCAGAUCUGUUAUCUUGGAUCUGCUUUGGUGUGAGAACAUCCAAAAGUCAAAUCUGCUAUGUCUUUGAUUUGUUCCUUGUAAAUACAAGAAUGCCAAAUCAUCUUGGAUUUGCUUCAGUAUAAACAUCUGAAGGCUAGAUUUGCUAUCUAUCUAUUCUCUGUCAAAAUGGAGAUGCCAGAUCUAUUAUCUUGGAUCUGCUUUGGUGUGAGAACAUCCAAAAGUUAAAUCUACUAUGUCUUCGAUUUGUUCCUUGUAAACACAAGAAUGCCAAAUCAUCUUGGAUCUGCUUCAGUAUAAACAUCUGAAGGUUAGAUUUUCUAUGUAUCUGCUCUCCGUCGAAAUGGAGAUGCCAGAUCUGUUAUCUUGGAUCUGCUUUGGUGUGAGAACAUCCGAAAGUCAAAUCUGCUAUGUCUUCAAUUUGCUCCUCGUCGAAGAUAGAAAAGCCAAAUCUUGUUAUUUUGGACCUGCUUCAGUGUAAACACAUGAAGGCCAGAUCUGCUAUGCUUUGGUCUGUUACCCUAUCGCUUAGGGGGUUAAGGCACCUCAUCCCAGACCUACAUUGCCUUUAGAAUGCAUAUGUGCUUAUGCUUGAUGAUUAGGAUGCUAUAAUCGAAGUGAGUCACAUGCUCCUAAUUAGACAUGUUAUGAUUCAAAAAUGUUAUGAAUAUGACUCCUAUUUUAGACGUCACCACUCAUUCCUUCGUUUAUCCUUACUUCUCUCAAAGUAUUAUUCCUGCUCAGCCUAUAGGCCUGUACCACUCUUCAAAUGCUACGACUCACUGAGAAUAUUUGUAAGAUGAUCUUUUCUUAGAAUCGAAUCAUUUGAUUUGUCCAAUCAUCAUUUCGUACUGGAAGAAAGAAAUUCCUCAAGUUCUUUCAACCCUCACUUACGUGAAUUUCUCGAACAAUUGUCCUAUUUUAUUUUCCUAUGUCCUCUAGAAAUUUCCAGAGUAAUGCGCAAAAUUUCAGUUGUGAAAAUUGUUUAGUUCAUCUAUCACUAUUUCAAUGCAACAUACUUUAAGAAUAAUAGAAGAUGAAUUAAUUUUGAGAAUAACUAAAUUUGAAUGAAUUUGUCAAAAAUACAAGGGAAAAUAAUCUGAAAGCCUAUCUUUGAGAAGAAAUAGAAUCUAAAGAUAGCAAACAGGACAAAUGUUAAAUGCUCUAGAUAUCGCCGCCUGAACGUCUAUACACUAGCUCGAUGAAGUCUUUCUUGAAUUCAACAUGUGUUUAAAAGAUCCAAAGUACUUUUUUGAUGCCCCGAUAUGCAAUGCGCUUCACUCUUCGUUGAAUCAGAUAUAGCAAGAUUACUGUGUGUUCUUCAAAGUUUGAGCUGCCCUUUCGGGUUUUCAACUCAAAACCCCUUUGGUCUCAAGGCGCCCUUUGCGGGUUUUCACCUUGGCCUCUCCAUUUUUUUUUAAAAACUCAAGGCGCCAUUUGCGGGUUUUCACCCUGAAUGCUUCUCCUUUAUACAAAGUACUUUUUGACUGAGUCUGAAUUCACUGGAUUAUGCAAACUCUUCCCAUCUAUUUCUGCUAAGAUCAAUGAACCCCAAGAGAAAGCCUUUUUCACGACAUACGGCCCUUCCCAAUUCGGCAUACAUUUUCCUCUAAAGUUCUUCUGAAUGGGAAGGAUCUUUUUCAACACAAGAUUCCCCUCACGGAAUUCUCUUGGUCGCACUUUCUUGUCAUAAGCCCGCAUCAUUUGCUUCUGAUACAUCUGACCAUGACGAAUAGCCCUUAGCCUCUCUUCUUCGAUCAAGUUCGACUGAUCAUAUCGUGAUUGUAUCCAUUCAGCCUCAUCCAACUUUAUUUCUGACAAGACUCAGAGAGACGGUAUCUCUACUUCAAUGGGUAACACUGCUUCCAUCCCAUAAACCAAUGAAAAGGGAGUUGCCCCUGUAGAAGUUCUAACGGACGUUCGAUAAACUAAGAGUGCAAAUGGUAACUUCUCAUGCCAAUCUUUAUAAGUCUCAGUCAUCUUCCCCACUAUCCUCUUAAUGUUCUUGUUGGCUGCUUCUACUGCCCCAUUCAUUUUUGGGCGAUACGGAGAAGAGUUAUGAUGCUUAAUUUUGAACUGACUACAAACUUCUGCUAUCGUUCUGUUGUUCAAGUUCAAUGCAUUGUCUGAUAUGAUUCUUUCAGGCAUCCCAUAUCGACAAAUGAUCUAUUUCAAGAAUCGACUCACAGCCGACUUAGUAAUAUUUGCAUAAGAAGCGACCUCUACCCAUUUUGUGAAGUAGUCAAUGACCACGAAGAUAAACCGAUGUCAAUUCGAAGCUUUCGGUGAUAUUGGCCCAAUGACAUCCAUGCCUACAUGGAAAAGGGCCAUGGAGAAGUCAUGACAUGUAAAUGUGAAGGUGGUACAUGUAUCUUGUCUCCAUAAAUUUGACAUUUAUGGCAUUUCUUGGCGUAGUUGAUACAAUCCCCUUCCAUGGUAGACCAAUAAUAUCCAAACCUCAUGAUUUUCUAGCCAUCGUGAAACCAUUAGCGUGUGUCCCACAAACACCUUCGUGAACUUCUUCCAAAAUUAACUUAGCUUCCACGGCGUCAACACAUCUCAACAGUACUUGGUCCUUUCUUCUUUUGUACAAGAUGUCCCCGUCCAAAACAUAAUCGCAAGGUAAUCUCCUUAAAGUUCGUUUAUCAUUUUCAGUUGCUUGUUCUGGGUAUUUACGAUCUCUCACAUAUUGCAAUAUAUCCUGAUACCAAGGAUUAUCAUCCUUUUCCUCUUCCUCAAUGUUACAAUAAUGAGUUGGAGCCUCAAAGAUACUCAUCUGAAUGGGUCUCAUUUCUUCCUCUUUAUUCACUUUAAUCAUUGAAGCCAAAGUUGCUAGAGCAUCUGCCAUUUGGUUUUCGUCUCGUGGGAUAUAAUUGAAUGCGAUGUCAUCGAACUCCUCAAGUAACCCUAGAACUACCUUUUGAUAAUUAAUCAAUUUAGGAUCCCUUAUCUCUCAUUCUCCUCUAAGCUGGUAAAUUAGCAAUGCAGAGUCUCCAUAUACUCCCAAGGUUCUUAUUCCUCACUCUAUAGCCGCUCGGAGUCCCAUGAUGUAUGCUUCAUACUCGGCUAUAUUGUUUGUGCAAUCAAAAUCUAGCUUGCAUGUGAAUGGAUAACAAUCACCAUUUGGGGAUUCCAGGACUGCCCCAAUUCCAUUUCCCACUCAUUAGAUGCCCCAUCAAAGCUCAACUUCCAAGGAUGAUCCUCUGUAGCUGUUACACACAUCAACUCCUCAUUUGGGAAAUCAAAAUUCAAUGGCUCGUAGUCUUCUAGCGCUUUGCUAGCUACGAAUUCUGCUAUCACGCUUCCUUUUAUAGCCUUUUGACUCACAUAGACUAUAUCAAAUUCUGAAAGUAGUAUUUUCCAUCUCGCCAUUCUCCCAUUCAACGCUGCUGACUCCAUCAUAUAUUUCAAAGGAUCAAGUUUUGAAAUAAGCCAAGUAGUAUGAUAUAGCAUAUACUGUCUUAACCUCCGAGUUGUCCAAAUCAGAGUGCAACACAAUUUUUCGAUAGGCGAGUAUCUCAUUUCACAUUGAGUGAAUUUUUUACUGAGGUAAUAUAUCGCCUUCUCCUUCCUUCCUGACUCAUCAUGUUGGCCAAGCACACAUUCCAUGGAAUUGCUGAAUACUGAGAAGUACAGUAUUAGUGGUCUAUCUGGACUGGGCGGAGAUAAUACCGGAGCAUUCAACAAGUACUAUUUGACCUUUUCAAAAGUGUUUUGGCAUUCCUCAUCCCAAGUACCUUGGUUGUGCUUUCUAAGGAGGCGAAAGAUAGGAUCACACUUCUCAGUUAGUUGUGAAAUAAAUCGAGCAAUGUAAUUCAGUCUUCCUAGGAAUCCUCGAACUUUCCUCUGAGUUUGUGGUGGAGGUAAUUCUCGUAUGGCUCUGACCUUGUCUGAGUCAACUUCAAUUCCCUUUUCAUUGACUACAAAGCCUAAUAAAUUUCCCGAUCUAGUUCCAAAGGUACACUUUGCUGGAUUGAGCUUCAACUGAAACUUUCUCAAUCUCAAAAACAAUCUUCUCAAGACUUCAAUGUGCUCUUUCUCUGUUCGCGACUUGGCAAUCAUAUCAUCAACAUACUCCUCAAUAUCCUUAUGUAUCAUGUCGUGGAACAAGUUCACCAUGGCCCGCUGGUAUGUUGGCCCCACAUUCUUCAAUCCAAAUGGCAUUACUUUAUAGCAGAAGGUACCCCACAAGGUUAUGAAGGUAGUUUUAUCCAUGUCCUCUGGAUGCAUUUUUAUCUGAUUGUACCCUGAGAAACCAUCAAUGAAAGAGAACAACGAAUAUCCUGCUGUGUUGUCUACUAAAGUGUCGAUGUGUGGCAAAGGAAAAUUAUCCUUUGAACUAGCUUUGUUAAGAUCUCUGUAAUCACGCAUAUUCGUACCUUCCCAUCCUUUUUAGGAACAGGCACAAUGUUAGCUACCCAUUCCGAAUACUUUACCUCUUGUAAGAAACCCGCAUCGAACUGCUUCUUAACUUCAUCCUUUAUUUUCAGAACAAUAUCUGGCCUCAUUCUCUGCAACUUCUGUUGGACAGGCUUACAAUCCUGUCUUAUUGGAAGACGAUGCACCACAAUAUCGGUAUUUAAUCCUGGCAUAUCCUGUUAGGACCAUACGAAGAUAUCCUUGAAUUCACGUAGCAACUCGAUCAGUCCUUGCCUUGUGUCAUUGGUAAUAAGUGUCCCAAUUUUCACCUCCUUCCCUUCAUCAAGGGCUACAUUAUCUGUUGCCUCCUUUUCAUAGGGCAUAAUUUGUUUCUCCUCUUAUUUUACCAUUCUUAACAGAUCUAGAGACAUAUCACAAUCCUGGACAUCUUCAAAAUCCUGAGAUUCUUCUAAACACAUGUUUUGCUCGCGAGAGAAAUCAGGAUUUGUAAUAUCAAUGCUCAUGUCAUUGAUAUCUAGGGGCCUGUAAAGGAUAAAGAAUAUACAAAGAAUGAAUGAAUUUAAGAAUGAUUAUUUAUGUACUAUGAAUGAAAGAAUAAGAAUUGCCAAAAUUUAAAGCAAUAUUGGUUGAUAAAAAUGAAACAAUACUCGUUCAAAUUGAUAAAAGUUAUGUUUUAUUUAAAUAAUAAUAGAUGAACAUAAGCCUAUUUUCACAAGUGUAAUCCUAUUACUCUUAGGCUCUAGAGUAACAAGAAUGUUUCGGGAAUUACUCUGAAGAAUUCCUAAAGACUACAGGAAAUUCCUCUACAGUCCAAUUGUUUAGAGAGCUUCCUGAUUCGUAAGGGCGAAUGCCCUCAAGGUUCCUUUACUCCGAUCCUUCGUCGUGUGCAGCAUUAAUCUGAUGACUCUCUUCUACAAGUAAUCCUCUUGAUAUGAAAGUUUUUGAUAUAGGAGGGAAUGUCAUCGAUUCCCACCCCACUUCUCUUUCAUCUAAACGCGCCAUUCUCCUUUCUUGGCGCUUCUCAAUGUCUUUCCUCCUUUGCUUAUAGUCUGGCUUGAAAUCCAAACCAAAGCAGUCUUUCUUCUCAAUCAACUUUGGGAUCUGAGUCCUUCCUUACAGAUAUUUUCCUAAACUUCUUCCUGGUAAAGCUCCCUUUCCUGCCAUCAUUUGUAGAGCCAUCAUUGUAGCUCUUGCUAUCCUUAGCACCGGUAGCUCACUCCUUUCUGAAAUGAAAGUCACAUUUACGAAUUAUAAAGAGCGAAAAGAACACUCAAUAGAUUCUUCAUUUGUCUCAACAUAAGGGGCCUUACUAGUGACUGCGGCUAUAAUGUUCUCUUCCGCAUUGAUGGUUAUUAACCAUCCAUCAGUCACUAAUUUCAAUUUCUGGUGCAACGACGAGGGCACCACUCCUGCUGAGUGUAUCCAUGGCCUGCCUAAUAAGCAAUUGUAGGAAGGCUUGAUAUCCAUUACCAAGAAAUCUACUUCAUACAUGUUCGACCCGAUUUCCAAGGGAAUGUUAAUUCUUCCCAUCACCUUCCUUUCUGUGCCGUCGAAGGCUCUUACCACAUUCUGACAUGUCUUCAUGUGAGAAUUGUCAAUGGGUAAUCUGUUUAAUAUAGACAAUGGUAGAACAUUCAAAGCCGAUUCAUUAUCAAUGAGUACGCUUGAGAGUGUGUACCCCUUGCAUCGAGUAGUAAUAUGCAAGGCCUUAGUUGACCCUCUACCCCCCGGUGGGAUUUCAUCAUCAUUAAAGUAGAUGAAAUUAUCCGUGCUAAUGUUGUUCACCAAUCGAUCCAUCUUAUUAACAGAUAGGUCAUGGGUGACAUAUGUUUCGUUAAGCACCUUCAUCAAUACUUCCCUAUGCGCCUCAGAACUUAAAAGUAGAGCCAAUACUGAUAUGCGAGCCGGUUGCUUACACAACUGCUCGACCACGCUAUACUCACUAUGUUUAAGGAACUUUAGAAAUUCCUUAGCCUCCUCCUCCUUUACUGGCUCAUUGAUGGGUACUUCGGUCUCUUUCUCCUUCUCAACCUCGACACCUUUUGUUUUUGUGGGCUCUAUUCUGAUGCCCCCCGUAUCAUAACGCUUCCCACUCCGCAUGUGGGAACCUUCCACUUGCACUUCUUUAGAUGCGCUGGCUAUAUUUUCUUCCUCCGGCACUGUCACACUACAAUCAUAAUUCCAUGGCACUCUCUUGCUAUCCUUGUAAGGGAAAGGAGUAGGUUUAUGGAUAAUGACCUUGGGCACUGCUGGUGUCCCCACUUCAUUAUUCCCUGGCAGGGAGAUAAUGAUCCUUGGCCGGCUGGUUCCUUUUUGUUCACCUUCCAGUGCACUUAUUUCUCUUUUAUAAGAGCUACCUUCAAAAAUUUGUAACUCUUUAUUAUCUAUAAAGCCUUGCACCAAGGCUCUGAAUUCUUCAUAAUUUUGGGUCUCAUGACCCUCUUUUCCAUGGAACUCACAGUAGUUCCCUGUUUUUUCUCUUUCUUUCCCAGAGGUUAUCAUCCCUCUCUUCAUCAUCUCUUCCCAAAUCACCUUUAAAGGCAUCCUCACCUCAGCAACAUUUUCCUUCAUCCUUCUUUCACUAGCAUCGCCAAUGGCAUUCACUCUUUGAUUGUCAUGAUUUGGCAAAGGGUUUUUAGUAUUUGGGGUACUAUCAAAUUUCACAACCUCCACAUUGAUCAACCUCUCUACGGCCUUCUUGAAUCCGGUACAAUUUUCAAUUGAGUGCCCUGAUAUUUCGGCGUGGUACUCACAUCUGGCAUUUCCAUCAUACCAUUUAGGAUAUGGAGGCUGUAACGGUUUCAAGUGGAAAGGAGCAAUAGCAUGUGCAUCGUAUAAGCUUUGAUAAAGCUCACAAUACGUCACAAGAAUAGGUGUGAAUUGCAUUCUUUCAUGCCUUGUGCCUGAUUCCUACCUUUGAGAACCCUGUUGCCCACCCGCAGCUACUUUGGGCUGACCAAUUAUGAUCGCCUUUGAAUUGAAGCUACUUGUGUUGUUUACCUCAUUGUCUUUUCUCUUUGGGGCUAAUCUUUUGGCCACUUCCCCCUCAAUUUUGCCCCCUCUUAUGGCGUUCUCAAUCAUCUCUCUUGCCAUGACUAUGUCUGCAAAACUUUUGGUAGUGCUCCUAAUCAUGUGAGUAAUGAAUGGAGUCUUCAGAGUGUUGAUAAACAACAUGGUGAUCUCCUUCUCUAAUAAUGAUGGAUGAACUUGCAUAGCAACCACUCUCCAUCUUUAAGCAUAUUGCCUAAAAUUCUCAUUAGGUUUUUUCUCUAUGUUUUGUAGCGUAAUCCUAUCCGGCGUCAUGUCAGUCACAUGAUUGUUCUGUUCCAUGAAGGCUUGUGCAAGAUCCUUCCACGAAUUUAUUCUGGCCCGGCUCAACUGAUUGUACCACCUGGCUGCUGCUCCCACUAAGCUAUCUUGGAAACAAUGAAUCAACAGUUGAUCAUUGUUUACGUAUCCGGUCAUCCUCCUACAGAACAUCGUAAUGUGGGCCUCUGGGCAAUUAGUCCCAUUGUACUUUUCAAACUCUGGCAUUUUGAAUUUAUGGGGAGCACCAAGUCUGGGACCAAACUCAAAUCUUUGGCAUCAACUCCAUGAUGCCCAUCAGCACUCUCUAGAGCCUUAAAUUUCUCCUCCAACCAUCUACAACGUUCCUCCAACUGUUUUGCAGCUUCGGCUCUCAAAUCUUCGUUUUCAGCCACGUCCAAGUCAGGAAUGAGAGGAUUGGUAGGGUUGUCACCCAAAUUGAAUCCCGAGCCAGUUGGGUAAUCCAUAUAAAUCCCAGUAUCAAUCGGCCCAUGUUGAGGCCUUAUAUUGACAGAUGGUCUUUUGGGAGGUGCCUCAGUUUGUGUAGGCCCGUGAGGUGGAGUAAAGCCUGGAGGAUGAUCCUCUUUCUCCUCACCAGUGAUUGCCAUAGGGGCUUUUCCCUUAUCCGUGGCCCUCAACAACUGAUCCAUCUCAGUCAUCAUAUUCUUCUAAGCCUCUAGCAUUUACUCUCUCAUGUCGUUUUGCAUCUUGGCCAAUUGUUCUUGCAAUUGGUUUUGCAUGUCCUUUUGUAGCUGUUCAAACCUUUGAUCCAUAUUCCUAGAUUUUGCACGAGUUCCGUACUGAUGCGUGGUUUCCAGAUUUUCCUUUCUACUUCUAUAGUAACUUUAACUAAUUAGGGUCUUUCUAUAACUUUGAAUGCAAAUAAUGCGAUGAAAUGCUAUGAGAUGCAAAUGCAUGAAUGCAAAAAAGACAUCGAUUCUGAUUCAAUCUCAUUUAGAAAACUUUAUUUAGAAAAAGAAUAUCUUUACAUAUAAGAGAAUUACAAAUACGCUUUCGCCUUAAUGCCCAAAGUUUUAACUCUAUCUAAUAAAAGGGCUAACCCUCAUCCUCUAUCCGACGAUGACUCGUACGUCAAACUCAAUACAUCAGCUCGUAUUACCAAGUCUUGCACGUGUUCAGCGACUUCUCGAAUCUGGGCUACGGCUUAUCUAAUGACGUGAUCCCUUUCUCUGACCUGUCCUCUAGACUGAUGAAGCUCUCCCUUCAAAUGAUCUUCUCGUACCCCAAGCUGCUAGAUUAGGAGCUUGCUAUCCUGCAAUGCUGAUUCCAACUCCUCAACUUUGCCUUUUAACUUUUUUACCUCAACAGUAGAAUCACGACUUCGAUGCAGAUGAAGGGAUCGCCCGAGCUCAGUUACUUUAGUCUUUAAACCUUGAUUUUCUUUUUCUAAGGUCAAAUUCCACGAUUGCAUCUCUUGGAACUUCUUUUCCGAAUAUUCGGCUUUAGCUUUUUCCUCUUGGACCUCCUUCUGCCCCUGAUCUGAAAACCUUCCUAGUCCUGCUCUUUUCAAAGCUACUUGUGCCCUUUUGUAGUGCUCCUUUAAAUCGUCUCGGUCCUUCUCGAUCUUCUUUUUUUCUUUCCUCUCUUUUUCGACCUCCAUCUUUUGAACAUCGACAUCUAGGCUCAAGUACAUCUUUUCUUCUUCGAGCUUUGCUAUCCUCUUCUCGAACUCCAAGUUCUUUCUUUUGAACACUUGCUUCAUGAUCUCUAAUUUCGAUGGCAUCACUUGAAAGUAUUCCUCCAUCGGUCGAGCUCCUUCCAUGCUUGGCCUAGGGAUAUUGACAUUAAUCCUUCUACUCUUCCACUCAAUGUACUCAGGGGUCGUAGCAGGGUUAAUGGCUACUCCUUUCAAUCUACAAGUCUGGUUCCAAGCACCAGAGAUCUCACUAACUUUCUUCUUGUAAUCAGCUCCUCUAUACAAGAACUCACUUUGAGCCAGUCCAUGAGUUGUUGGUACGAACUGCCUCAAUCCAUGCUGCCUCAACACCAGCAAAGGGGCAUAACUGAUGGCACCCCAAAUUCCCAAUAGAGGGACCCAAUCAAAACUGCCGCAUCGGUAAAGAAUCUCACCAGGAAUCAUCCACGGAGCCCUCCACUCAACAUCUUUCGACUGAAGGUUCUGAAGUAGCGCUAUCCAAUUUUCUUCUGAAACAUCAACUCUCCUAGUUGAAGCUGCUAUGUCCUUCAAUGGAGAGUAAUCCUCGAAGAAGACCUGACAAACCACCCUAUCUAUCAAUCGGAAGUGACUGUAGAACCAAGCUAAAAGUAACUGAGCACAACCAACAAACCUGCCCGCGCUGGCCCUCCUACAUGCAUUCAAGGACCUGAAUGUCUCCGCCAAAAUCUCAGGAACAGAAGUGACCCGUUUGCUUAGUCGAUGGAAGAGAUUUGUGGUCCCCUCGUUCAAAUAUCCCAAAGCCUUGGGGAAAACCAUCAAUCCGUAUAAGCUUAAGGCAAAAAGUCUACCCUCUUUGCCUCGUUUGGAUGUGUCUGGAUCAGAUCUUUCAGAGCUCCUCACGGAAUGCACUUACUCUCACCCUUUUCCUUAAUUCUAGCCAUGGUCCACUGCUCGCUCAUUCCCGUAAUAGUCAUCAACUUUUUACCAAAGGUUGGGACACAAGCAGCUCGAGAAUAAAUCCUAUCACACUAAAAUCUAAGACACCGAAGUAAGGUUGUGUACUCCUCCACAGUAGGCACUAAAUCUACCUCCCCAAAGGUAAAACAAUUGUAUGCUGGGUUCCAAAACUAAACGAGAGCUCGAAACAAGUUCUCAUCAAACUGAAUAUCAAACAAAUAGGGCAAAUUUUCGUACUUACCGUAGAAUGAUUGCUUGGUCUCAUUGCCCCACUGAUCCCAAAUCGCCUUAAACUCUUGCAGAUUAUUCUGUGUGACACUGAUGCGAGUGUAGUCUGAUAGCUCCGACACAUAUCCCGCAGUUAUGCUAUCCCUUUUCCUAACUGAGUUUGCUUAGACCAUCUAUGGACGUUAGCGUUGCCCUCCACUCUAUCAAGAAGUCCGUUCUCCAUAAUAAAACUUUCGAACUUAGAAACUGACUUUGGAUCAAUACCUUUUAAAUACAAAAUGACAUGCACAAAAGAAAGGAAACAGUCAGUAUCAUAUGAUAUUAAUAAACACAAAGAUAACCUAAGUAUAAUUCUAUCUAUAUUAAACUCUUAUGAUUUUCUAUAUGUGGUUUGUUUCUAAAGUUUGAGGUACCCGAACCAGUAGAUUCCUCGAUCCUCACCCAUUAUAGGCUUAUUUGAAUCAAGUUCAGUUCAGGGGAAUACAUUUCCCUAUGGCUACACAGAGAUGAAAAUCUCACGAAACCAUAGGUACGGAUGUAUCCCGAAAGUGAUCCACUAUCCUGCACGGAGGUGAAAACCUCAAGAAGGCGUAGCAUCUCACUCCCACUUAAGGGUGUGACCACAACGGUCAUGCAAAUGCAAUGCGUAUCAGAAUAUAGCAACACAUGCAAUAAUACAAACACAUGUAAUGCAAAGAGGAUUAAAUUUUAAAAUUUUAAUUUCUGACAUUAAGACAAGAGAUAAUCAAUUACAUGGCUUGACUCUCUUAUUAUUCCCCAGCGGAGUCGCCAAGCUGUCGAGACCAUUUUUAAAUCGAGUUUUGGAAAAUGGGAAUUGACUUUAAGAAAAAAAAACGGGAGUCGCCACCAAUCUUUUUAGGUGUGAUUGGAUCACUUUAUAAAAUUUUUGUUUUAAAACAUUAAUUUUGGUCUACGUAAGUCGAGAAAAUGGAUUUGGGAGUCGGUUACGUACGAGGAAGGGUUAGCACCCUCGUAACGCCCAAAAAAAUUGGUACCUAGUUGAUUAUCAAGCAUCUUUAAUGUCGGAAAUUUUGAAAGUUCUAAGAUACAAUCCUCUUUUGAAUAUUUUAAUUUUGAAAAUUAGAGUUCACUUGUAUCAAAUGAAUCAAAAUAUUGCAUCCAAUAAGUUAGGAAGUAAUAUUUUUAAGUCAUUCGAAACUAAGCUAGCCCUCCUUGAAAAUCCCUAUCUCGAAACGACAAAACGCCAUAUCCAGUAAGUUAGGAUACAACGCUUUGAAAUUCCAAGGCAGUUGCUCGUAUUUUGAAAACUCGAAAACUUAGAAGGGUGCUUGAUUAUUCUAACACAGCGAGAAAAGUUGCAACCCAGUAAGUUAGGGCACUACUUUUCUUGAAGCUUCCAAAUACCAAACGUUGCCUUUUUAUUUUUGAAAACUUUAGAAUCUUGUUUUUGAUUAAUGCAUGAGGGAUCAUAUUAACAUUAUGGAAUAACAUACAAGAUUGCAUAUUAUCAUAAUAGGUUAGUAAAAGUAUGAAUUUAAACAUAUUUUAAACAACAAACAUGGCACAUUUAAAACAUGUAAAACAUACACACAAAAGACAUUUGACAUACAUUAGAAAUGAAUAAGUGAGCAUAUAUAUAAGGUAUAACUCUAUAUACAUUUUAAUAAGUUAACAGACAAAAGAUGAUACAUGGCAUACAAUUUAACAUAAACAUAUCAACAUACAUAUCAAUUCUAAAAUACAACCAUUAAUAAUCAUAAAAUAGUAUUUAAUAUAUAAAUGAUAUGUUCAAUAUAUGUGUGAAAGAAUUAAUGUAUAUUAAAAUGUAAUAUAAGGUAAGUAAUUAUUGAUAAAAUAUACCUAAAAUAUAAAUUAAAAAAAAGCUUAAAAUAAGUUAUGUAUAAUAAUAUAAUAUGAAUAAAAUAAGGAAAUAUAAAAUAAUAAUAAUAAUAUAAUAAGUAUUUUGCAUAUAAAAGUAUGGUAGCAUAAUUAGAAAAAAAAGGAUAUAUACAUAAUAAAAUAUAUGUAAAAGAAUAUAUAAGAAAAAUAAAUAUUAUAAGGAAUAUUAUAUAAUAAAAUAUAGUAUGUAAUAAAAUAUAAAUAAUUAUAAUGAAAUAUAAUAUGGUAUACAUAUAAUAAUAGUAAUAAUGUAACAAAUAUAUAAUAAAAUAAAAAAUACAACAUAUAAUGAAAUUUAUGAAUGUAUAUAUAAUGUUAAAAAUAAUACAAAUAAAACAAUAUAUUAUUAAAUAUAACUAAUGUUUUUUAAAAAAUAUAUAUAUAAAAUAAAAAGGACUAAAAUUGGAUUCAAUUAAGAAAUUUGGGGGUUAAUUUGCAAAAUAAUAACAAUUCUGGGCCUGAUUGAAAUUCGCAUUAAAAUAGAAGGACUCACUGGGCUAUUUGCCCUAAUCCCAAAACGACACCGUUUCCCCUAAUACGGUUUUAAAUCACUGUGAGGGCCAAAUUGAAACAGAAUUAAAACAUUAAAGCUAAAUUAAAAAAUAAAUAAAAUGAAAUUAAAAAUAUAAAAAAUACGAGAGGACCAAUUGGGCAAUUAACCCAUUUUAUAAAAAACACGCAGAUCCUCCCCGGGUAAUCGGGUCAACACGCGGAUCCUCAGGUCUUAAAACGAAGUCGUUUUUUAAGCUUAUUGACUUAAGCCAAAACGACACCGUUUCUUUUAGGCUAUAUAAACCAAAUUGUAAGCUUGAAAAUCAUUUUUACACCGGUAAAAAAAAACUUAAAGAAAUCCUCUGCAGGAGGAUUCGGGGUCGUCCUCAGAACCUUGUUGGGCCCCCAUUCUUAGGCUCCUAUGCCCACACGCCACCGCGAGGACCACCACGCACGGUGAUCGGAGGGUUAAAAACCCUCGUCCUUUCUAGCGAAUCACAGGUAACUCUCUUCCUCUUAAUAUUUCCGUAGUUUUUUUUUAAAAAUGCUUCGUAUACCAGUCAGAAAAUAAUUAACAAAAUAUGACAUAUAAAUCACCUUAAGAAACUGUUUGCAAUCCUGAAUGUAUUCGUAUGUCUGUUGCUUUUAUUUUCUAAAAAAAAAAAUCCGGUCCUUUACAUCGUAUUUGAUUCAGGCUUUUAUAGCCACUGUUUACAAUAUAUUUUGGGAAGAAAUCUUUUAUUUCUUCCCAUUUUUUUGUUUGUUUGCUGCUGUUUCUUUCUCUUGUGCAGUUAUUCGCGAGGAAAAUUCGGCGAUGAUCGUGCUGGACGCAGAUCUGCCGGUGGCGUUGAUCACGGAGUGACCUGGAGCUUGGAAUCGUGGCUUUGAUGGAGGGUAGUUGGAACGACAGAAACCGAAGGAGCGUGACGUUUGGUUUGGCUUCUGGAAUUUUCUGUUUACGGUGCUUAGGGUUCCAAAAAAACCUAGGUCUCCCCUAAUCUGUUAACACAUUUGGGCCUCUUGGGCACCGAGUGUAAUGGGUCUGCUGGGCUUAAGCUAAAACCGGGUAUAGGCAGUUAGGUCAAAUGUAAACGGGUAGUGGGUUUAGGUAUUUGGGCUGCUUGGUUAUGUAUUAUUUUUUGUUUUGGGCUCUGUAUAUGGACUGUUUAAAUAAAUAAACAUUUAUUUAUUUUUUUAUUUUUUAAGGCCCGGGCAGAUUUGGGCUAUUACAAAAAUAUUUAAAAGUUUUAAAUAAUUUCAAUAAUUUUUAAUUUUUUUAAAAAAAUAUAAUAUUUUUUUGAAGUUUUUAAAAUUUUAAAAAUUAGUUAAAUGCUAACGUGGUAUCCAUAUGACAAUCCAUGGGUAUAAAUAUCAGCAAAGUUAAAAUAUGUUAAUCUUUUCUGUCAAUUUAGGAGUGAUUUGAUAAAAAACUCAAGUUUAAAAGUUAAAAAACCAAAAAAUAAGAUAUGAAAGAACAAACAAGGAGGAUGAUUAAGCUAGCAAUGGAUGAUGGGUAUAAUAAACAUGACGUUUCAACAAUAUAGAUGGAAUAAUACCUCAACUUUAAUAAUAUUUCCCAAAUAGGAAAGGAAAAACCGAGAGUAUUCCCAAUAACCAGUGUCGUGAUACAUUUUCUAUAAUCUCUGAUCCAUAUUACCAAAUUCCCAUGUUCAAGUCAGGAUUUACAACAGUAGUAAGUAUAAUUACAAUUAAUCAAUGAAUAUCUUUUUUAGUCAAACCAUAAAAUGACAAGAAAACCAAGAUAACAAAAUCCAAGUUGCAAAACUAUACCAAAUUUUCGAGAAGAUAAUCCAUAUUGAAUAAUAUAAAGAUUGAUAAUAUCAGAGAAAGUCCAGAAGAAUAACAUUGCACAUUCGCCUUUCAGAGUUUUCACCAACAGAAAUAGAAGAAAAUAUCAUAUGAAUCUUAGUAUAAAGUAUUCUAUCACAUAUAUUGACUUGGAAAACCAAAGAAAGAUAAAGUAAUGACACUUGUGAAUUAAUCAGACUUGCGACAAUUUCUGUCUGUUAGCAUAUUUAUCUAACCUUUUCCAUAUAAUGAUUAUAGCAUCCAAUCAUGAACAGUUGCAUAUACUUCUGAAAAUAUCAAUACAUAUAAUACACCCAUAUAAAAUCCCAAAAAAUUACUAUAAUGUACCCAAUUAUAACAGCUAUAUUAAAAUACUUUUGCAAUUUAUUCACCAAUCUAUUGACUAGUAUAGUCAUCAUUAAUUUUCACAUCAUUUAGUUCACUCAAGAAAUUAAUUAAGAAGAAAUUUUUAGUUAACCAUUGUGUAAAUACCAUAUCUGAAUAAAUCAAUUUUCCUAUAAAUAAGUUCUUUCUUUAGCAGUGGUACUGUAUAUUCCAAGUAGUUUUCAGAAAAAUCUAAUGUCUCUAUUCAGAACCCAUCUUUACUUAUUAACUCAUUCUCAGUUCUAACUGCAUUAUUAAUUGCUCAUUCAUUAAACUUUUUCACUUUCACACUUAUGAACUUAAUCAAUAUAAAUCGCAUGAAUUUCAUUACAUAUAACUGUACUGGUAAGGGGGUAGAGAUCGUAAAGUCUCAUAAUUUAAUUUUUCAUGUAUUUACUCAUAUAACAUAAUAUUUAUCUUUUUCAAGUACUAAUAAACAUUUAUCUGUAUCUUUACGAAUUUUGAUUCAUCGUAAUCAACAUUUUUACUCAGAGAUAAUCCUUUACCUUGACACAAUAUUUUUUUUUAUUUAGCAGAGGCUCAGUAGACUAGAUAAUGCUUUUACAUGCUUUACAAUUUAAUACUUGUACCAAUAAUUCGUACAUUUAUAUCUUCUGUAUCUUUAAUACGUGUAAUAUAUUUUAAAAUUUACUAUUCAUCCAUAAUUAACAAAUAAUCCUUAUCAUGUACUUCAUAUAUAUAUAUAGAUAAAUCACAGGAAAAGAAUUUCUCGAUAUAUGAUUUUGAACUGGCAAUUAUUGUAGUUGCAUCAGGAAUUUGGCAACAUUAUCUAUUUAGUGAAAGAUGCUAUAUAAGUACUGAUUACAAAAGUUUAAUAUAAAAUUUUAAAGUAUCUGAUGUUACAGAAAGAUUUGAGACAGUGUGGAUUGUGAGCUGCUGAAAGAAUAUGAUGUGGUAAUUGAUCAUUAUUUGGGAAAAACAAAUGUAAUUGUUGAUACUUUGAGUAUAAGAUUUCUGUUUGUCUUAUAAGCAAAGGAUACCUGAUUGCAAUUGUCUGAUAAUAGUACAAUCUUAGUAGAACUUAAAGCUAAACCAAUGUUUAUACAACAGAUCUGUGAAACUUAGAGAUGUAAUAAUGAGUUGCAAGUUAAAUGAGUACAAAAUGGGUCAACUUCUAAUUCAGGAUUUCAAAUUAGAUCUGAUGAUUGUCUAUUAUUCUAAGACAAAACAUUUAUACUGAAGAAUAAAGGUAGCUUUAGUAAAAAAAAUUUAUGAUAAUGAUAUGAUACAAAAGAAGCUAUCUAAGAAUAAAAGAAAACUACGAGAAAGUAAUAUCUUUUUUUUUACUGAUGAGAUUUUCAAGGAUAAAAAUUAUUUAAUGGGGAGAGAAAUAUAAUACCCCGAAAAUUUCUAUAGUAAGAUAUUAUCCUUGAUAUAGAAAAAUAAGGAAAUAAAUGACAAAAAGGGAAGUUUUGAGUUAUGACAACAUUGGGAAGUAAAUUAUGAUAUCUUGAUUUAGGAAAGGACUAAAUUGCAAUAGUGUGAAUAGUUUUGUUGCAUAAAAGUAAAUACUUAAAACUUGAGGGGUUAAAGUGUAAAUAUGAAAAAUUUGAAGGGUCAAUAGUGUAAAUAUUUUAAGGGUGGAAUGAUCUAGAAAUUAAGGAAAAUGGAUGAAUUAGGACCAAAUUGAAUAGGUGAAGAAUUAUGAGGGACUAAAUUGUAAUUUUACCAAAUUAAAUGAUGACUCAAGGAUGGAAUUUUAAAAGAUAAUAAAGGGAAAAAUGAUCAAUUGGAAGAGAGAGAAAUCUAGCAAGUAAUGGUGAUGUUGAUGAUAUUUUAUAACUAUUUAAUUAAGAUAAACAUUAUUUUAAUAUUUUAAUGAGAUAUUUUAUUAUUUAUUAUUAUUUUAUUAUUAAUUUAUUUAAUAUAUAAGGAAGGAAAGAUGAAGAAUUUCUAUCAUCUUUCCAUCCAUGCAAUUCAUGUUAGAAGAAAAGAGAAGAAAGAAAGUUUUCUUUUCUUUACAAUUUGGUCCUUUCACCAAAAAUCCACCAUUUUCACUUAGAAAUCAAAAGAAUUUCCUUAGCUAUCAAGAGAUAAAGAUGACAAGGAGACAAUUAGGAGCUAGAAUAUCAAGUUAGAUUCAAGAAAUAGAAGCUAUAGGAGAGAGAAAAUCAAGUUAAAGAUUGAAAUCAAUGAGACAAGGUAAGAACAUCAAGAUUUCAAUAUAUUUUUAAGUUUGAUACUAUUGAAAAAGCAUGGAAAUGAUGUUAAUGUAGAGUUUUCUUAUAUAAGAUUUUAUGUUCUUAAUAUGUUAGUGAAGAGAAAGUAAUGAGAAAUAGUGUAGAGAAAGAAAAUAAGGGUGUUAUAAACAUGGUAAAUAAACAUCUUGCACUAAAAUAGUUUUGGACAUCAGCAGUAGGCUAACUUUGAAAAAUCACCAUAAAUUGUGGAAAUCGAAUUAGAGGAUGAAUAAAAUAUGGAAUUAAAUAUUAUUGAGUCUAGUUUCUUAUAUAAGAAAUGUAUAAGAAAUGGAACUAUGGAUUAUGAGAUAUAAUAAAUUUUGUGAGACAAGGUUAGAAUGAUUUCGGGUUCCCCUAUUUUGACUUUAGAAAAUCAUCAAAAAUUGGAGAAAAAUAAUUAAUGGCUUAAAUUUAUAUGUUUAAAAUCCUUAAUGAGUCUAUUUUCAAUAUAAAUAAUCAGGAAUAUAUUCAGAUCUCGUACAAGGAGAUAAUUAAUUCUUAGCAAAGAAGGGUCAGAACUGUCAGACAACAGAACAGGGGUAACUUUAAAGAAUAAACUGUACUUAUUGGCUAAACCAAAAAUUCUAAAAAUUUUAUGGUAAGAAAAUAUGUGAGUCUAGUUUCAUAUAAAAUUAUCUUAUCUUAAUUUUGAGUUCUUUAUCUUAAGAUAAAAAUAAUCUAGUGACUAUGACACUGAUGGACAACUUUGAAUAUACAUAUAAGUAAAUAGUGAAAUUAUAAAUAAUGUUACUUAUAAGCAAGUUAUAUACAUUAAGGAUGUGGAAUGGAGAGGAGGAGGAGGAAAAUAUAUAUGAAUAUCCAGCUAGUAUGGUUAAUUUGCAUGUUCUAGGCUCAAGGACUAAAUUGAAUAAAAGUAAAACUUUAGGGGAAAAUUUUGUAAAAAUGUCAAAAAUGACCAAAUUGAAGGGAAUGAAUUGUUUUAUUUUCUAAAUUAUUAAAUUGAAUGAAAUUAUUAAUUUAAGAUCGAGUGAAAAUCGAGAAAAUGGUAAAUUACCAAAAUGCCCCUAAAUCAUGGUAUUUCUGCAAUUUAGUCAGGUAGGUUCGUAUAACUUGAAUGAGCAUGUAAAUAUGUCAAUUUAAAUAUUGUAUUGUAUUUUAUAUGAUGUUUGGAUUGAAUAUAUGAAAUGUAUGAAUGUUGAAACGAAAGAAAUAAUACAUGUUCUGAAACUACUUGAAAGGGAUAAAAUCUGUUUGAACAUUGGGUUCCAAGCGGAUAUAGGUGAUUUUCCAAAUGAAAGAGUUUCUGCAUUUGUUGCAGAAAUAGAUGAUCCGAACGGUUAAUCUGACAAAAGCCUUCUCAAGAAUAUAAAGUGAAUAGGAUUUGUUCCUGAUUCACUAUAAUACCUCAAAGUGGAUAGGAUUUGUUCCUGAUUCACUAUGGUAAUUUAAAGUGAAUAGGAUUUUUUCCUGAUUCACUAUGGUAACUUAAGGCAAAUAGGAUUUGACCUGAAAAUGUAAUCCUAAUUCGCUACGAUUACAUGAUAUAUGAUUCAUUACGGUAACCUAAGGUGGAUAGUGUAGUAGCCCAUUUUUGCUCGGGCUUUAAAACCAAAAGUAAAAUAAAUAAAUACAUGUUUAUUUAAACAGUCCAUUUACAAUAAACAGGCCUCAAGGCCUGAUAAGCCCAAAUGCCUAAAGACCCAGCAGACCGGUUACAACCCAGACCCAAUUAACCUAUUAGCCCGUUCACCCCAAUCCAUAAACAGGUACGGCCCAAAUGGCCCAAUUUGUUAACAGAUGAGGGAAGACCUAGGGUUUUUGGAACCCUAGGCGUCGUAAAUGGAAAGUUCUAGAGGCUAAGCCGAACGUCACGCCUCUUCGGUUUCUGUCGUUCCAAUGGCCCUCCAUCAGCGCCGUGAUACCAGCGUCAUAUCGCGCCAUAAUCGACGCAUUCUCCGUCGUAAUUGUCGUGUAUAGACUUGCAAAAGGAAAGAAAGCGACAGAAACGAAACAAAUAUGGCAGGGAAUAUUUUUAAACAUGUAAAAAUGCUAUGUACAGUGGCUAUAAAAGCUUGAAUCAAAAGAUGUAAGAGGCCAGAUUUUUUUUUACAGAUAUACAAAAAUAUAUACACAUAUUACUCAGAGCAGAAAUAAGAAGCAAGGUUCACUUUAGAAGGUGAUUUAAAUCUCAUAUUUUGUUUUUUUGUUUUUUUCCUUGAACGAAUAUACGAAUCAUUUUUUAAAAAAAACUAGUAAUAUUUAAAAGAAAAGGAAUCACCUGUGGAAGGAUGAGGGUUUUUAACCCUCCGACCAUCGUGCGUGGUGGCAUUCGCAGUGGCGCGUGGGUACCUGAGGACGGUAGCUUGACAGAGCUCCGAGGCCGACCUUAAGUUCUCUUCAGAGGAUUUUCUUUCUUUUUUUUUAGGACCGGCACAAAAUGAUUCAAGGGCUUAAAAUUUGGCUUAUAUAGCCAUAUGUGAACGGGGUCGUUUUGACCUGAACGGUAACCUUCAAACGGCAUAGUUUUUAGACCAGGAUCCGCGCGUUGACCCGAUUACCCGGGGAGGAUCCGCGUGUUUUUGAAGAUUGGGUUAAUCAUUCCAUUUGUCCUCCCACAUUCUUUAAUUUUUAUAAUUUCAUUUUACUUAUUUUUUUAAUUUAGCCCUAGUAUUUUAAUUGUGAUUCAAUUUGGUCCUAACAGUGGCUUUAAUACUGAAUUCAUGGAAACGGUUUCAUUUUGGGAUUAGGGCAAAUUGCCCAGUGAGUCCCUCGUUUUUUAUGCGCUUUCCUAAUAGGCCCAAAUUCUUUUUAUAUUCUUCUAAUUAGCCCAAAGUUUUCAAUUGUUUUUAAUUUUAAUCUUUUUAUAUAUUUUUAAUUUAUUUUAAAUACUUUAUAUAUUAUUUAUUUUAUAAAUAUUAGUUAUAUAAAUUGAUAUAUAUUAUUUUUAUUUAUAUAUUAUCCAUUACAUUAUAUUUAUUAUUUAUUUAUAAAUUAUAUGUUAUUAAAAUUUAUUAUAUUAUAUGAUAUUAUAUUAGCUUAUAUGGAUAUGUAUUAUUAUAUUUUAUUAAUUAAAUAUUUUUUUAUGUGUGUAUUAUAUGUUUUUAAUGAUAAUUAUAGAUAAAUAAUAAAAUUAUUUUUAUUUAUAUUAUUGUAUGCUUCCUAUAAAUUUUAUAUACAUUAUAUUAUAUUAUAUUAUUUUAUAUUUAUAUCUUAAUACGUAUCACCAUGUAUAGUUUUAAAAUUUUAUAAAUUAUUAUUAAACAUUAUUUUUUAUAUAUACUAUUAAAUAUUUAAAAUUCAUUUAUCAUUACAUUAUUCUAUUAUUUUUAUAUUUUAUAUGUUAUUUUAUUAAUAUAUAUAUUACUAUUAUGAAGUUUAUAAAUUAUUAUUAAGUAUUAUACUUAUGUGUACUAAACAUAUAGUCAGGGGCGAAGCCAGAAAAAAAUUUUUAGGGGGGUCGAAGGAAAUUUUAAUUUUUUAUAGUCUAUAUAUUUAUAAUUUUUAAAGGAUUAAAUUGAAUUUUUAUAAUUUUAGGGGGGCCAAAGUGCAAUUUUACCUUUACUAAUUUAAAAUUUUAAAAAAAUCUAAAUGGCCUAAAUGAAAAUUUCCCAUUUUAGGGGGGGCCGGGGCCCAUGCCUGCCCCCUGGUUUCGCCCCUGCAUAUAGUAUGUAUAUUAUCAUAAAAUUUUAUUAUUUAUAUAUAUUAUACUACGUUCUAGUAUUUAUUAAACGCUUUAAAAUUUCUCUUAUUUGUUUAUUGUACCAAAUAUGUGAUUUUUUUUAAGUUUUGUAUUCUUUAUAUAUGUUCAUAUGUUACUAAUAAAUUUAUGAUAAUUGCUUUAAUACCUAAAUUCAUUGCACGAAUUACUUGUUAUCAUUGAUCUUAUAUGUUUACAUGAAAAUUAUUUAUUUAUGAAAGAUAUAUGGUCAUGAAGCAUGAUUGUUCAUUUUAUCCUCAUUGUUUAUUAUGCCGUAUUCUUACAUGAAAUAUUAUUAUCUUUGCCAUUUUGUACUUGCUUGCAUGAAAUAAUAAUGUGUUUAUUAAUAUUAUUUGUGAUUAUAUAUGCAUGAAAUAUCAAAGUAUUAUGUGUCGUAUGUCGUAAUUACCAUUUAUUAAAUUAUAUUUGUGUGAAAUACUAAAAUACGUAGCUUAAUUAAUUCAAUGUUGACCUAUUGAUAAUAUGUUAAAUGCAUCAUUAUUAAAAACCUUUAUAUUUCAUUCAAUCCAAGAGAUUUUUUAAAGGGUAAGGCAAUGUUUUGGAUAUUUAGAAAUUCCGGAAAUAGUGCCCUAACAUGCUGGGUUGCAAUUUCUCGUUUGUCUAAAUAACUAAAAUAUCCUUUUAAACGAGUUUUACAAAUCACGAGAUAAUUUUAGUUACGAAAGUGUAAAGAUAUGGUAUCCAAUCAUGCUGGAUGUAAUGUUUGUACUAUUUUGAAGCGAAUGAAUCUUGAUACUUUUAACUUAAAAUAUUACAGUUUUAAGGAAAUCUCAUUUAGAAAUUUUUUCAAAUUUCUGACAUUAAGGAAAAAUUAUUCAAUUUGGUACCAAUUUUGGGCGUUGCGAGGGUGCUAAUCCUUCCUCGUACGUAACCGAGUUCCGAACCCGUUUUCUUAAUUUUCGUAGACCAAAACAUUUUAUAAGGUGAUCCAAUCACACCUAAAAGGUUGGUGGCGACUCCCGUUUUCGUUUUUUUCAAAAAGUCUAUCCCUGUUUUUCAAAACCCUUUAAAAAUGGUUUCGACAGAUAGGAUUUGACCUAAAAAGGUAAUCCUGAUUUGCUACGGUUACACGAUAUAUGAUUCCUUAUGAUAACCUAAGGUGGGUAGGAUUUGACCUGAAAAGGUAAUCCUGAUUCACUACAGUUACAUGAGAUGUGACUCGAGAGAGUGCUUGAUAAUUAAACGUCCUAAGGGUUAUUUCUGAAUAUGAAUUGAUGGAAUAUGGAAAUGUACGCUUUGAGUGUACUGUUGAAAAAUCCAUCGAAACUCCAAUGAUUCAAUGGAUAGAAUAUUUGAUAUGAUACAAGAAUUAUAAUAUGAAAAGGAUGUUACAUGAAACAUGAAAAUGAAUACUAAAUGAUAUAAAUUAAUUGAAAUUAUUCUAAAAAUUUCGAUAAUGCCUCGUCUCCUAUCCCGGUCUCGGGUACAGGUAUGGGGUGUUAAAUGCUAGUAUUCUGUAUGUUGGAAACACUACGAAAUGAGAUGAAUUGGUGUAAGGCAAAGAGCUCCUAUGUUGAAGUAGUUAUAGAACUUUCUCAGUAUGUGAAAAUCUUAUAUUUACAUAUACAUCUAUAAAUUGAACAGCAGGGUUCGGUAAAAAUAAAAAUAUAAAUUAUUAAAUUAUUAAAAAAUAAAGAUAUUAAAAAUGAAUUAUCUUUUGACUUGACAUCCAGGUGUAUGUCUACGUCAGCAAAGUUAAUAUUUGUUAACUUUUCUAUCUAUUUUGGGGUGAUUUGAUAGAAAAAAUGUAAAUUUGAGGGUUAAAGAGAGGCAGAAAAUUAAAUGGAGGACUAAAAAGACUUUUUUUAAUGUUGGAGGGCUAAAUAAAUCAUUAUACCAAAUUAAUUCAAUCAAUCAAAAAUAUAACUAAACUAUAAACAAAACAAAUUUGAUAUGAAAUUGAAUCAAAUGAAGUGAUAAUAAUUUGUAUUCAAGUUUUAAGUUGACAUUAACAUUGUUUUUAGUAUACGAGGAUGAAGGUUCGAGUGAGUUGAAAUGUGUUAUCCUCCUUUUCAAGGGUUGGGAAGAGAUUAUGGGCAGUUCUAGGCAUUGUAUCAAAAAUAGAAUUAAAUUAUAAAUAAACAAUGCUAAAAUAUUAAAUAUCUAUAUAAUCAUCAUUUAAAUUUCAUUUUUAAGAAACGUUGUAAAACUAUGUAAAAAUUAGGCAUAAUGAUUUUUUUGCCCUCCAACUUUAUAAAAAAAAUCAUUUUGGCCGUUUUAUUUAAUCUUUUGUCUAUUUUAACCAUUGAGCAUGAUUUUUUUGUCAAAUCAACAUAAAAUGAAUGGACAAGUUAACAUUUUUAAACUUUGCUGAUAUGACUUAUACGUGGAUGACAUGUCAACACUUAAUUAAUUUUUUAAAAUUUAAAAAUAUUUAAAAGUUUUAAAUAAUUUCAAUAAUUUUUAAUUUUUUUAAAAAAACUAUAAUAUUUUUUUGAAUUUUUAAAAUUUUUAAAAAUUAGUUAAAUGCUAACGUGGUAUCCAUAUGACAAUCCAUGGGUAUACAUAUCAGCAAAGUUAAAAUAUGUUAAUCUUUUCUGUCAAUUUAGGAGUGAUUUGAUAAAAAACUCAAGUUUAAAAGUUAAAAAACCAAAAAAUAAAAUGUGAGGCUGAAAUGAUUUUUUUUUAUUAUAAGUUUUUAAAAGUUAUUUUACCUUUAUCACUUUAUAAAUUUUUUUAAGGUAUAAAGAUAAAGUUAAUUUCUUACAUUUACUAAUUUUGUCAUUUUAGCUUUUAUUUUUCUUUUAGAUCACUUUGGUCCUCAAUCUUUAAAAUGUGAAAUUACUUUUCUAGAAAAAAUUAUCAUUGCAUCUAUUUUUCAUCAAAUAUGUUUAAAACUUUUUUUUUCCAAAUAUGCUAAGUAGAAAAUAUUUAUAUUUAUAAAUAUGUCUUCUAUAAAAAUAUUUAUUUUCAAAAUUGUUUUAAAUAAAAAAAAUAUAUAAAAACUAUUCAAAACCUUAUAGAAAUAAUUAUUUUUAAAUUUAAGAAAAUUUAUACAUUACUUUAAAAAUUUUAAAACUUCAUUAUAAAAAGCAUAAAAUAAUUAGAUAUUUUUUAAUUUAUAGACACAAUCAACCAUGCGUCAAAGAUAAGCAAAUUAGUAUAUAUAUUACCGGCCUAAGAUUAAUGUUGAUGUAAAGAAUUUAAAAUGACGAUAUUUGACACUCUAAAUGAAUGUUGCAUGUAUUGUCAAAACUAUUUUUAAUUUAACACACUUUUAUUAAUAUAAUUUUAAGUAAAAAGGAAAAUCAUGUUUUAGACAAUUUUCUUACAAUUUAAAGUAGUUGUACUUCAUAUGGUUUACAAAACUACUUUUUAAUGAAAUUCGUAAAGUUAUUCAAUUUAAAAUUUUUUUAUUAGUUUUUUAAAAAAAUUUCUAAUCGUACAUAUAUAUAUAUAUUACAAACCAUAUAUAUGUAUAUUACUAUAUUAUAUUAUGCCAUAAGGUCUAAGACCUAAACUUGAUACGUACAACUUAUUUAAUUGACAGAUUGAUAAUUAUUAUUUUAAAAAGUUUUAAAUAAAUAAAAGUUAAAAUCAUAAGUAAAAUUUGAAAGAGUUAGAUAGAUUUUAAAAUUUUACAUAAAUUCUUUAGGUAAGAAAAUAAAAUUUUAUAAAAUUUUUCAUAAAUUUUUUAAAAUUUAUAAAAUAAAUCUAUAUAAAUGCCCAUAGCUAUCGUAUAAAAUAAUAGUAUUUUCAUUUCUUUAUUUUUGAAAUAUCUUUUUCUAUAUUCUUACUUUCAUGUUUAUUAUGUGUCAUAUAUUUUUGAAAUAUUUUUUAUUUUAAAAAAAUGGGAGUCGACUUAAAAAAGAAAAUGGAGUCGCCACCGAUCUUUUUUUGAAGUGUGAUCGGAUCAUCUUGAGACUGAUCAUUUUAAUAAAACAUUUUUGAUUUAUUAAAACAAUGAUUUUGGUCUUCAAAACUAAAAAAUGGGUUCGGAAUCCGGUUACGUACGAGGAAGGGUUAGCACCAUCGUAACGCCCAAAAUUGGUACCUAAUUUAUUGAUUAAUGUCCUAACAUCGAAAAUUUGAAAAGAUUUUAAAAUACGAUCCUCUUAUUUAAAAGAACACUUGAAUAAAUCAAAUUGGAUGCUAAGACCCUCUUAUCUCGAAGAAAUAAAAUGUCAUACCGAGUGAGUUAGGAUACGGCAUUUCAAAUCCUCGAAAUUAAGCCUGUCUUUUGAUUUUUAAAACUCAUGCACUUAAGUUUAAAAAAAUAUAUUCAAUUAUUUGGGUCAAAUGAAAAAUCGAAACCCAGUAAGUUAGGGCACAAUUUCUCAAAAUUCCAAACGUAGAAUAUUGCCUUUAUUUUUAAAAAUCCUUAUCUCGAGAUAAUGAAACGUCAUAUCCAGUGAGUUAGGACAUAACUCUUCAAAUUCCCGAGAAUAAGCUUUUAUUUGAAACUUAUACGUUUGGAUUGAAGAAGGAUAUUUAGUUAUUUAGAUUCAAUGAGGAAAAUUGGAACCCAAUAAGUAAGGGCACAAUCUUCUCGAAGAUUCCAAAUACCGAGUAUUGCCUUAUUAUUUUUUAGAAGUUUUUUAGAUUUGGGGGAAAAUUGAUACGAUAUUAAAACGAUGCAUAAAAAACGUUGAUGAAAAAUGACAAUAUGAAAAUAUAGAUAAAUAGCUUAUAGAACACAAGAUCGCAAUAAACACAUCAUAUACAUUAUUUAAGAAGCUAACAUCAAUAAUCAAAGACAAAUGAAUUAAAAGACAUAUAUAACAAUUUAAAAAAACAAAGCAAGUCGAAAUAGAAUGUAAAAAUAAUUUUAAAAUGAUAAUAAAUGAAUUUAUAAUAUAUAAUGUGAGAAAAGAAUUUAAAAAUCAACAAAAUACAAAAUGAAUAAAAAAUAGAUGAUAUAUCACGAAAUUUAAAAUAAUAUAUAUAAGUUUGAAAUAAACAAUAUAUAAAAAAAACUCAAAAUAAACAAUAUAUGAAAUAAUUUGUAAUGAUAUAAAAUAAAACAUUGUAUAAAAUGAUAUAAAAUGAAUAAUAUAUAAGAUAAUUUAAAGUAACAAUAUAUAAAACUCAAUCAAGAUAAAACUAUUUAAAAUAUGUAAUAUAAAAAUAAUAAAACAAAAUUGCUUGAAAUCAAUACUUCAUAAAAAAAUUGAAAUAAGUAAAUAAAAUACAAAUUUGCAAAAGGGAUGAAAAUAAAAUAAAUCUCUAUACAGAAUGAUAAUAAAUAAUCAAGCGAAUAAAUACUAAAUAUUAAGCAAAUUAAUUUAAUAGUAUGAUGAUAAUAAUAAUAAUAGAAGUAAUAAUAAAUAAAUAAUAAUGAAAAAUAUAACUAAUAUAAUAAUAUUACAAAUAAUUAAUUAAUUUGGAAAUGAAACAACAAAAAUAACGAAAAAGGACGAAAACAGAACCUAAAAUCGAAUUUCGGGGCAAAUCAGAAAUAAAUAAAUAAGAAAAGGAUUAAAUCACAUGUACGAAUAAAGAGGAAGGACUAUUCUUGAAAAUAUCCCUCUCUCCAAAACGCACAACUUGAGGUAGGAUCAAAAUGCAAUUAAUAUAAAAAAUGGGGUCAAAAUUAAAAAAGAAAAGUAACUCAAUCAAAUAGAAUUGCGAAGAAGAGGGACCAUUAGCACAAAUAUCCCAAAAUUCCAAAAUGAACAGCUCCUCCCUUUCUUAAACAAUGACCUUUCAAAUUUGGUUUAAAUUAUCAUUCAGUUUUCUUCAAAAAAACGUUACAGACCCCAUUUUCCUUUUUUCUUCUUUAAAAAACAAAGAUUCUUUCUCUUCUAAAAAAGAAAACCAAAUCUCUAACACCCCCAUUUUUGCUCUCCUUCAACAGAUCAUAGAGAGGCAAUCCGACCACCCCUUUUUUGAGCCUAAUUUCGAUGAUGGAGAAGGACUCUCCGGCGCCGUGACCGUGGGUUCAGGUAAAUCUUUCUCCUUUCUCCUUUUGAUUUUCGUAGGUAUGGAAAAAGAAAGUGAAGAAAAUGAAGGAAAAAAAAACAAAAAUAAAAAAAAAAGAGGAAAGAAAAAAACGAAAGUUAGAAACCACCUUUAAAAUUGUUUUCUCUUCUUCUCUAUCGAUUGUGCGUAUUUUUAUCCAAAAAAAAUCUCCCCAAAACAAUAAUUUCAUGAGGCUUUUAUAGCCCUUUUUACAACUGAUUUUCAACUAUUGCAAGUUGUGGGUGGCGUGGUGGACGUGGGCACUGACGUGGUACGUGGGUGCGAACGUGGAGGAGUGGGAUGCGAGGCGGCUGACGAGCAUGCGGUGCUGGUCAAAGGGGCGUGCUGCUUCCUUAUUUUCUGUUUAGGGUUUUAGUUUGGGCUAGGCUUAUAUUUUGGGCCUAUUAGGCUGCUUUGUAUAUUUUGGAUUUUAAGUUUGGUUGUAACUGGGCUUUGUAAUUCUGGACUGUUGUUUAUUGGGCCCCUGGUUAAAAUUAGGCCUUACAGUCUUUUUUUUUUCUUCUUUUCUCUCAUUCUUCCAUAUUCUCACUUUUAUACAUUUGAUUAUUUUUUUUACCCUUACCAAAUUAUCUCUCAUUUGUUGAAUUCCAUUGGUAUUUAGAUUGCCACAAUAACAUUCGUAUAUUUUCUAGGAAACGAUAAGUAUGCCUUGUUUCGAUGAUUAAAUCUCGAAUUUUCAUAAUAUUAAUGUCUGGUAUUAAUAUUUAGGUUAGACUAAUCAAUCUUUUAUGAAUCUUGUCAAAUCUUUGAUAAUUUUGCAAAAACCUUGACCCAAUAAUUAAUUCGUGUGUAAAUGUCAUUUGAAAGACCGAAUCUAGGUGAAUCGGACCAAAAUCAAGCGUGAGGAACAUUGAUCGAACCCAUGGUGAAAGAUGUGUGUUCUUUACCAAGUGAAUCGUGACAAACUGUGUGUAGUUUAGGGCCACACGAUCCCCCACACAACCAUGUCCACCUGUAGAUUUUAGGGACUUCGUGAACAACAUGAAUUCAGCCUGUUACAUGGUCUGCCACACAACCGUAUGUCUCACUUCAUCUCUUCCUUGAAAGCUUGCAACCUGGCGUCCAUCUUCGCUUUUAGUUUCAUAUCUAAGAGGGCCAGAUCACUUUGAAUCUUUGCAAUCUCCUGCUGUAGGUCAUUGACUUCCUUUUGUAGACGUAUGGUAACCCCUUCCCUGACCAUGAAGAUCAUGCUUGCUCUAAUACCCUUGAUGUGGAACGAAAUUGUUCAGUAAGAAUAAGAGAGAUUAGAGAAAAGAGAGUAGAGAAGAGAGAAAUCAAGGGAGGGGAAAUUCUUGUGUAUUUUUCUAUAUGGCUUUUCUAGUUCUCCAUAACCAACAUAAAAAGAGGAAAAGCAAGCGGGAAAGAUGGUUCAAAAGUUUGUUACUAACAAUAGAACCGUUGUUGACCAAAACACAACGUUUAAGUAAACUAAUACUUAUGCCAAUACACCCCGUUUAAGCUGAGUGUUGCUCCUUAAUAAACUUGUACUGCCACUAAGCGCCAUUUUCAUUAAAAUAAAAUGCACCAUUUUUAAUCAUUUCUGAUUUUGGCCUAUAACAUCCUAAAAUGGAAAUUUUCAUUUUAAGCGCUUGAAACUUUUUAAAAAUUUUAAAUUAGUAAAGGUAAAAUUGCACUUUGACCCCCCUAAAAUUAUAAAAAUUCAAUUUAAUUCUUUAUAAAUUAUAAAAAUAUAAAUUAUAAAAAAUUAAAAUUUCAUCCGACCCCCCCUAAAAAAAUUUUCUAGCUUCGCCCCUGCUACUGCUAAAUAAGAUACCCUAAGUUUACAUUUUAUAAUUAUUGUAAAGUAAUAUUUUCCUUUAAUAAUGAAUAAAAUCUUUAUUAUUAUUUUCAUCUUCGUCAUCUUUGGAGAUGUUGAAUGUACAAUCACGAUUAUUGGAAGGAUUAGUGUUGGGUAGUAAGGGGUAGCCAUGAAUUCUAACUAAUCUUUAAAAAUUGUACAUUAAUGAUAAUCUUGCUAUCCAAGAAAAUGAAUGUUUGAGAAUUCUUCAAAUUCAUACAAGUGGCAGCCAUGUUUUGGCUUGGGUGGUUGAUGAAUUUGCUGGUAUGAAUAGAGGAAGGUAUCAAUUUUAAUAGCUCAAUGAAUUAAAUAAAAUUUUUAAAUAAUUUGAUUACUAAAAAUAAUUAAUGGUAUAAUUUAUCCAAAUUAAAAAAAAAAUUGAUUGCUAAACUAUUAUUUUUGGUGAUGACAAUCAAUUUUGUUUUUUUUUUUUCUUUUAAUUGGGAGGACAAUGGAGUUGCUUGACAUCAAAUCUAAGCUUUCAUGCUUGUAAAAUAACACUCUUUCCACUAGAUAAAGAGAUUAUUGACAAUCAAUUUUAAUUUUUAAGACGCGAACAGGAGAUUUAACUACUACUCCCAUUCUGAUUUGAAUACUUGUUCUUAAUGAAUCAUACUAUACAGAUUUUGAAACAAGAUAGAAUCCAGGACACAACACUAUACAAGCAUACUGGGUUUAUUCUCAUGGAAAACAUAGGUUGAAAGCUAAAGGAGCAAAAAAGCUUUUAAAUCUUUGGGAAGCAUAUUUGUAUACUCCACCACCUAAAAAAUAGAGUUGAGAUUUUGUAAACCAACUACAUUUGAAUAGUGCAGGAUCGUAUGUAUCUUCCAUAAGUUUUGUUUUUUCCUCAAUGGCAUCCCUCCCGUCUCUGGGAACAUCUUAGACGACUAUCCAUCCAACGGUCCCACCAGAACAAUUCAUCCCUUCCAUUGCCCACCAACCAUCGUCAACAAUUGGAAAUGUUGCUCAUUCUGCAAAUUUAUCAGACCCCACCAUCUUACUCCAAUUAAGAGACCGGGGCAACCACUUCAAUGAUUUUUAAGCAUGUGUCGAUUACUACUUUGAAAGCAUUUAGUCAAUCUUCCUUUGAGUUGGGGUUUUGGUAGCUUUCUAGUUCAGAUUCAAGUUUUAUUAAGGACAAUUGUCAUGUGUGAUUUUCUUUUUAAAGAUUAUUGCACUUAAAUCUUAUUAUGUGUAAUUUUUAUUCUGAUUUAUUCUGAUUUAAAUUCGAAUAUAUUUUAGCUUUUAGUUUGUUGUGCUUUGUAUUGAAUUAAUUUUAGUUUUAGUGGAUUAAAUAUGUAUUAUUUAUCUACGACUUAGUUUAAAAAUUACUAAAAAUCUUUUAUUUUUAUAAAGUAACAAGUAUUAAUAUGAGAGUAUUUUUAUCUUUUCAUAUUUUUUUAAUAAAAUAAUAUACAUAAUAAAAUUUGGACUUGAAACACAUGAAUUUUUUAACUUUGAACUUAAUCAUUUUAACCAAAGCCUUAGUUGAAUUUAAUAUAAUUUUUUAUAAAUAUAUAUUUUUAUUUAAUUUUUCACCCACAUUGUGAAUAUGCUACAGUUUAAUAAUUUGUAAUGUAUUAAUAAAUUUCUUAAUUUUUUUAGUUUAAUUGAAUUUGGAUUGAAUUAUAUUUCUACUUGUAGGUUGAAUUAAGAUUAUAAAUAAUUAAAAACCCCAUGUGAUGGUCUAAUGGUUAAUGGUUAAGGGUGUUCAUUAUCUAAAGUGUAACUUGGGUUCAAGCGUGGCUUGGAUUCGAGUCGUACUAGUCACAUUAGUUGUUUAAAUUUUAACCUGUUAAUUUACAGAAAAAAAAAUAUAAAAAAUUAAAUAAAUAGCGGUUAAGAUAAUGGAUCAAUGUCAUGUAUAUUAUUUGAAUAAAAUUAAUAACAUUUACACUGUUAUAAAAAAAAGACCAGAAGUAUUUAUUAAUGCAAUAAUACAAAGUAACAAGUAAGACAAAAACUUGUAUAGGACACAUAUUAAAAACACAUUAGAUUGCUAUAACACCUCAAACAUAGUAUGACACGUAAAAGAGACACAAACAUACGCUAUGGAUUGCUAGAUGAUAUAGAUUCUUAAUUCCUUAAUAAGAGGCUGAGAUUGGAUCAAUGAGCAAAGAAGUUAUCCCAUCUUUUGUAUUUUUCCCAACAUGUGUGUACCCAUCUCCAUUCUUGUAAAUGAAAUCGAGGACCCUUGUAAGAUUGAGAAUUCGUGUAAGAACUGGCCUUGGAACAACUUUGGAUAUCUCACUAAAUAUCAAUUCCUGGUUUAUAUCUUUCCAAGCAUUCUCCACUUGCUUCAUCAAUUCCCUACAUGCUUCUUCUUCUGAAACCGCAUGUUCUCUCAUGUAGCAUUCAACAGCCGAUGCACACUGCCCUCUCUCUUGCUCAAACUAUAUAUUUAUAUUAGUUUUAUUCAUCAAAUAUAAGUUAUUGAAAAUAAUCUUGCAAAAUUCGAAAAAAGGUACCUUGUGUGAAGUAACAUCAUUUAAGAGACGAGCAAUAAUGGAAGAAGCAUCAAUGAUUUUAGGGUUGUUAGAUGCCCAAUUAAAAAUCUCAGGUGUCACAAAAUCUCCCAUUCCAACAAAAGAUGUGACGAUUAACAUGAUAUAACCAGCAGAUACAACUGCGUUUCUCAUAUACUCCUUCAUUGUUGGAACAUAGUUUUCAUUACACCAUUUCGCCUCCACAAAAUAAGAUUCGGACAGUUGUUUAAACUAUGAAAAGGGAAAAAAUAAUAAUAAAAGGAAGUCAUUACCUUUAGGUCAUA